UUUUUUUUAGGUAAGCCGCCGCCGAUGAGUCCUACCCUGCCGUAGAUGUCUAGGCGUUUGAGUGUGUCGCAUAGGUGUCCUAGAUGGUGUAGUCAUCGUCUGUUGGCCGGGAGCAUGGUCUGGUGGGCCGGCGCUCCUGCGUUGCCACGCGCACGCCUCUGUCUUGGCCGCCGCAACGGAGAGCAUUACUCUAGCCACGGUCUGCCCGGGUUUGGGGACGCGCUAGAUAGUGUAGGUCGUAGUGGUGGAGACAUUUGUGGCCGUCGGUUAGCCACCGUUGAGCUACAUGUCACCAUCAACCCUAGCGCCGCCCGCUCCAUCCACUGUCGCCACCGUCCAUCACCGCUCGCCAGUCGAACCACCCCAAAAACACCCCAGUAGGUGUGCACGGUCGUACGGAGUCCAGCCAUGGUGUCAUCGUCGCCGGAGGCCUCACCGACGACUAGCCGUCGCAGUUACCUGCCAGGAUACCCGCAGUUUGGGCCGAGCACACUGUGCGUUGGGUUGGGCCUGCGUGUCAGCGAGUAAUGGCUAGCUAGGGUGCCGGUGAGAAGAGUGUCUCUAGGGGGUUUCGGGUGAAAAUGGUUUUAGGUGUUUAAAAAAUAGAUUUAAAUUUCAGUUUUCUUAUUUUAUUCACCGAAAUUUGUAGAAGUAUCCAAAAAUUUUAUGAAUUCAUAUUUCAUGCGUCCAAAUUAUUGGUUAUUUCUUUAUCGAUGCAUUACGUUUAGGAGUUGAUUGAAGCCUUAUUUUAUGCACAAUUCAACCUUGUUAUAGGACAUCUUUGCCACUUGUUCAAAAUAUUUAGUAAUGUCCUACGCUUAUCAUUGCUUAGACUUGCAACCUUCCUUAGUAACUUUUGUUGCUUCGCAACCUAAGGUAAUAUGGUUCAUACACUUUUAAAACAAUGAAAUGGCCUAGUUUUGAAAGAUGUAGACAGAAGCUUGGAUGGGACAAAGAAAGGAGUCUUGAGUUCUGUAGUUCCGUCUACUGUGAUUAAUUAGGUUAAGGCCCGUUCGUUGUUUUAACCUUUGAUCAAGUGAUUUUACUUGGUUGCUUACUGCCAUUGGGAACUAGCAAGCCCGGUAGGUUAGUUGGCACAUAGGGUGGAAAUAUAUUUACCCUACUUGGCGUGGGUGUAUGGUGGGGACGUAGCCUGAAAAUGACAUGGUGAUCAAGCCAGACGUGGGGUCUCAUGUGGGGGUGCGUUCCUAGGUUCGGGUAAUUAUAUUUCCAAUCUUUGGGUACGACUAAUCGAAAGGUCAUUUUGUACAACCCGCGCAGUUGUGCAUGGAUGGUGAUAAGGUAUCUCGUGCAGGAUGUAAAUUGGUCCGGAUCACCGCAAUUCUUGGUUAUGUAUGCACUUGAUCACCGCUUAAGCAUUGUAAAAGUAACAAGUUGAAUAUGAUGUUUUUACUUGAAUUAAUAUUGUGUAUGAUGAUUAGUACCACUUGUUUGAGCAAAAUAAUUUAUUCACCUAGAUUGAUUAAGUAAAAACUAAAUUGUGUUAAAAUAAUAAAACUAGGAUCCACAAGUAGUAAGCUUUUCGCAAAAUGUUGAGUCAGCCAGUCCACAAAAAGAUUUCAUACUCCUUGAAGUCUUAGUUAUUUUUGUACUGGUUAGUUGAGUAAGUCUUGUUGAGUACCUUCGUACUCAGGGAAUCCUUUUAACUUGUUUUCAGAAGGCCUGAAGUCGUCGUUCGAAGAGGAGCACCCAAAGAACUAGGGUAUUUUUAUGAGUCUACAAAUACCCUGGUGUUGGACCACAGAUGUUUAACUACUUUAUAACAUUACCGUCCCUGGCUUGUAUUAAAGUUUGAUAACUCUUUAUAAUGGUUUGACUUGCACUUAAGUUUGUUUCAAUCUACAGUUGUAAUAAUUCAUACCUUUAGUAUUUAUGUAAAAAGAUAAUGUUUGUUGAUGCUUUCCUGUCAUGGAAGCGAUCCUAAUGUAUGGCUAAUAUUCAAGUUGAACGUGGACAAUUGGGGUUAUCCCGGGGACACUUGACGGACUACCGGAUUUAAAUCGUUUUAAGUGCACUUAUGGAUAAUUACUAUUCAGACAGUGAUUAGGUGCACUUAAGCUAUUUUAAGUUGGUCAGUUUCUCCACAGCUAGUAUCAGAGCCAUAGGUUGGGAUAAUAAAUGUUGAUGGCAUUAAGCGUGCCAAUUUGUGAACUGCAAGUGCACAGAUCAGUUAUAGCUUUUCCUUUAGAGUAUUCCCCAAGGUUUAUCAAUCCGUGGAAACAAGGUCACAGGAUCUAGAUUAACUAAGCAUCAAGAAACAUGAUUUGAGUUGCAAAGUGAUUGUGAAUAGGCAUGAAUAGACAUGGAUCGAUAAGAAGUAUGAGCAGAUAUGAACAAGAGGUAACUCAUCUAAAGCAAAGCCUAGACUUUGCAUAUGUUGUAGUUCUAACUAGAUGACAAGCAAAUAUAUGGUUCUCAUUCAAAACAUCUUUAAACCUCCAACUCCGAUCUGACUCCCGAAAACCCCCACCUUACACAACAUCAGAUCUUGUCAUGAUCCUACCUAUCAGCACAGGAAGUCUAAGGGCAUGAACAUAAAACACACGUCUAGCUGUUAUGAUACAUCAGGCAUGCAAUUCUAGUCAACAUGACUACAAGAACACCCUAUGCAAUCUACUACGUAAAUAGAUUGGAAUAAGCAAACUCAUAGUAGGAGAAAUCAUAAAAGGAAACAUAUAGAUCACUAUUGAAUCAGAACCAAUCUAUUACUUUACCAUGAAUGAUUGUUCAUCACAUGAUCUCCACCGAGGCCAUACCGCGACUUGUGAAUCCUAGCUCCAAAACUCCCACAUGGAUCUUUCUCGGACGGUGAUCACGCCAGCUAGAGCCUAGCCUAAGCUAGCCUCCGAACAACUACACGGCUUUCAGCUCUCCAUAGAUGGUUGUCCCUCAAGUUCCUCAGCUCCUUCUGCUUCAAAUCUUCAAUCCCAUCUUGUUGCUCGAUGAAAUAUGAGGGUAUUUAUAGUCUGGAGGACCCGUGGUUUAAAUUGGAAGGCAAACGGGCGAAGGAAAGGGGUAGGCCGAUUGGCCUAAGGGGGUUAAGGCCAAUCGGCUUGGCCCUUCCCUUUACCCCCUCGCAUCCAGCUUCGUCACCAAGUAUUCUCUAAUGUUUAGGAAACAUAUUUUUACUUGCAUGCAGGCUAGGCACGUUGAUAGCCUCAGGAUAAGUAUAUGUCUUGAUAUCUUUCCAGAGUCCUGCUUGCUUCAAUCUUUGAUCCUGAAGUGAACUUUCCAUAUCUUGCGAAACUUAGCCCCUAAGUAUUCUUGGAGGAGUCCUCACUGAAGAUGAGCAUGAAUGGGGCCUAGGGGACCCAAGGCCGAUCGGCCUAGGCCCUUUUUGGACCCAUUGACCUUCAUCUUUCUCUGGGUUGUUGUUUGUCCAGGGCCUUUUCCAAUUAUACUCCAUUAUAGUCCAAUUGUCUGCAAAAAUAGAAUGUCUUCCAAAAUAAAUGCAUAUGCGAAAAUAGCCCAAUUAUUGAGUAGAAUCGAUAGUUAUGAUAUUAUUUGUAUGCUAAUAUUGAAGAUAAAUAGGGAUAAAAGUGUGUAAAUAACGAGCGUCAACAAUCCCCCUAUGCUUAAACCUUGCUCGUCCUCGAGCAAGUCCUCAAUAGAAAUUAGCAUUGCCCUUCAGUGUUAACCCUGCACUUAAUCAUACAUAGCAAGACAUGGUGCUCCAUUUAGAUGUUCAAUUAAUAUUCAAGUUGUAGCCAGCUUAUCAUUAUGGAGGAUAGACAUUAUUCGAUGAUGAACAAGCCACAAAGAAUUUAGAAUAGUGCUCUCAAAUUUAAAUCAACUUCAAAAUUUUCUUUUUAUAGAGCACAAUUUUCAAAAAGGAGCUAGAUCAACAUCAGCAACAAAAUUCUUUCAAUUGCUCAAUGGAAACUCUCAGCUGAUCAAGUCUCUCAAAGCAUGUGCUAGAACAUUACCAACCUAUUCUACUCAUAUAAAUAAGUGGAAUGCUUUAUCUGGAGCUUGGUAGGUAGAAAUAGUCCUAGCAAAGUAUUAUAUUCAGCAUAUUACCAAACUAGGAAAAACUUCUAUUGGGCUUACUGAGACUUGUCAAAAAGGUCAUAGAGAAAUAAUUGCUUAUGGAGAGGGAGAGAAUGGAACACACACUUUUUAGAUAGGUGGACAUGUGCAAGUGGCAAAUGAAUGAUCCCGAGGUAGAAAUGAAGUCCUCAUUAUCGGAUUGCACAAGGUUGGAAAAUGUGUAUGGACUAACAUUUUAGAGCACUAGAAAUCUUAUAAAGCUUAAAGAACUGAGGAGCAAUUUUAUUCUCAUUUUUCUUCAUUUGUUUUUGCUCUUUUUCUUCUUUUUUCUCAUCUCAUUUUUUUCUUUUUCUUCAUUCUUUUUAAGAUAAUGUGAUGACUCCAUCCCCCAUGCUUGAACGAUGCUCGUCCUCGAGCAUGAAAUAGAGAAUAAAAUGAUUAUUGUUGUAAGUAUAAAUCUUGAUUCUUGAGGGAGGUCAUCCAAGCUAAAAGUUGGAGCUUCCAGGGGAGGGAACCGCACAGGCCGAUCGGCCUAGCCUCUUCUUGCCUCUUUUUCCUUUGAUUUUUAUCCUACACAUGGCUGACGGCCUCCAAAUUAAUCUUGUUUAUCAUGAAAAGGUUCCAAUGGAUCUUCUAAAUUGACUUCGAGAAUUUAUUCCAUACUCAUAUUGGGUUGUGGUCAAGGAGGGUAAUCACAAAAAAAUAUUUGAGUUUUUGGUUGGAUGCCCAGCGAGGUUUGCGAAAUUUUCAAUGUAGAAAAGUCACAAUGCAUGGACAGAAAGGCUAGCAAGAAAUAGUUACACAAAGGAAUGACCAGGUCCUAAAUAUCAUACCACAGAAAUAAAUCCUAAUCCAAUUCAUCCAAAAUAUAAACUUGCAAUCUAAGGUUUAUCAUGAAGAAAUUUAUGAGGGGUUUCUUUCAAUGAGCUGGUUAUGCUCUUAUUGUUGAGAAGGACAACGUCUCUUCCAUCAGGUUUUCUCUUCUUUUUAGUUUUGCCUUUGUAUGUGACUUUUUGUUCUUAUUUACUUAACUAAAUAUUGUUUCCUUUUUAUAGCAACAAAGUCAAAGCACUAGAGCUGAUCCAUCCGUUACAACAUCUACAAACCCUGCAACUACUUCUUCACAAGGAGCCCAUGCCGCCACCAUCGCUGCUGCUCCUACAGGAACUUCUACCGAUCUAGACAAUAGAGGAGAGGUGUGAGGGAUUUUAUUUGGGCUUUUUAUGUUGUAAACAUUAUGGCUGGAUGUCACUUCUUUUUGUACUAAAACAAUCAUGGUUCCUGUGCAGGUGCCGAAGUUGGUCCCUGCGCAGGUUACCGAAGGUGUGUUACUUGUGACUAUGAAUCAUGGUGACUACUUUAUGUCUGGUUCGUUAUGGCGCAAAUUCCACACUAAAUUUCACACUGCUUCGUUUGAUGAGUUUUGGUCUUAUAAGACUCGAAAGCAUGACAAACGAAAUGCAUCUGCGAAGUCAUUCUUCCAUGAAUUCACUCGUAAUCAACAUGAGCAUGAUUAUGUUCUCCAUCACUGGUAUGUUGAGAGAGGACUUCGCCAUCUUGAUGGCAUUAGCCAUGGACAUCCGUUCGUUGGAUGAUUCAAUAUGCUUGAUGCAAAGCCUGAACCCCUUGACUUUGUUGAAGAUUGUACCUUUGAGUUUAUUCACAAGCGUUCUCAUGAAUAAACGCAUCGGGUUGUAAUUUUGCUCUUCAUUAAUUCUCUUCACUUUAUAUUUUCAGGUGUUAUAAUUGAUGAAAAUUUUCUUCGCUCGGCUGCAAACGACAUUGUUGAUGUUGUUAUAAAACUUAUUUUUUUAAUAAAGAAAUCUUAUGUUGUGAAUCGGAGAAAAAAUUGCUCAUCAUGAAGCGCCUCCCCCCGAUUUUCUAUUUGACUUCUCAACCGGAGAUUUCUAAGUCAUGUUGUACCUUGGUGAGAAUACAAGAAGUGACCCAUCAGCCCGACUUCAAUUUUUGCGUGCAACUUCGCAUUUCACGAUUUGACUCUUUGUUUCCCUUCACAUUUCAUGAGGUGCUGUCACAUUUCCGUGAUAGACUUUUUACCUCGUUGUUUCUAGCAAAACUAGCAUCACAUUUCCAUGCGCUUAAGUGAAUUUCAUGGACUUCAAGGUUAUCUACCUCAUUGUUCACUGAUUCACUUAUUAUGAGUCUUUGACUGUGGUUUGUCGAAAGUGAGUCCUCUUUGAAUUGUACAGGUUUGUCACUUCAGCAUUUUGUGUUGUAAUUUUUUCUCUUUUGUUUAUUUUUCCUGGGGAGCCCUUGUUUAUAUUUCACAAGGAGAUGUUACACAAGAAGUCUGCCUUGUUAAAAACCUCACAUCUUCGCUGAGACAUUGCUUCCCAAUGAAGACUCUCCCCAUGAAGAAAAGAAUACGGCUUCCCUCAAUGCUUCUGAUACAAAGAUUGUGAAACUUAAAUUACAAAAGCUUAAAAAAAGAAACUAAAGAACAAUACUAAAUUUAUUCUUUUUUGACUCCUUCAUACCCAGUACUUCUGCAGCAUGUCUUUGUUCCAGGAAUAUGGAACUUCUUCGCCUUCUAGAGUUUGAAGUUUGUAAGCCCCCAUUCUUGUUUCUGCCACCAGGAACGGUCCAUCCCACUUCGACUGUAAUUUCCCCACAGCUUUUGCUUUUCUUCGCAACACCAUGUCUCCCGUUAUGAUUUCUCUUAGAUGCACUUUCUUAUUCUUCCAUCUCCUUGUUUCAUCUUGAUAAGUUGAUUGAUUGUGGAGUGCUUGCACUCUCGCUUCUUCUCUUGUGUCUAAUGCCACAUCCAUGUCUUUUCUUAUCGGCUCCUGCUCUAUACGUAGUGAACCAAGAUUUAUUUUCUCCGGCACCAUUGCGUCUUCUCCAUACAGCAGCCUGAAAGGAGAAAACUUCGUUGCUCUUGAUUCCAUUGUGUUAUGGAACCAAAUCACUCUUGGUAGCUCUUCGGUCCACUUGCCCCUUGGCAUGUUAGUUAUUUUUUUUCUUGAUCCCAGUGAAGAUUAUUCCAUUGGCUCUUUCUACUGCACCAUUUGAUUGUGGGUGAUAGAUAGAAGCGAAACAUAACUUCAUUCCCACCUGAAUACAGAAUUGCCUGAUCUUCAGCUGUCAAACUGCUUUCCAUUGUCAACUGUGACUUCGUGCGGUACGCCAAACCUACAUAUUAUGCUUUGCUAGAAAAAUUUGAACCACGCACAAAGUUAUCACUUGUACUAGUUUGGCUUCGAUCCACUUGGAGAAGUAUUCUACUACCACAAUUGUGUACUUGUAAUUUCCCGGUGCCCCUGGUAAUUGACUCACAAUGUCACAAUGCCCCAUCUUGCAAACGGCCAAACAGGUGGAAGCAGUUGUAUUUCAUAUAGUGAUGUUUUGUUGUAAUUGGCAUGUUUUUGACAAUUAUCACACUUCCUCACUAUCUCUUCAGCAUCUAGAAUUGUUGUUGGCCAAUAGAAUGCUUGACGGAAAGCUUUGCUCACCAAUUUUCUAGUGCCAAUGCGCAAAGAACACAUUCCUAAGUGUAUUUCAUGCAACAAGUUCUUUCCUUCUUGUGUGGAUACGCACUUUAGCAACGAUGUGCAUCCUCCUCUUUUGUAUAGGCCUUCCCCCUUCAUCAAAUAGCUUCUUGCCCUCAAGGCCAUUCUUUUGUUAUCCGCAUCACUUUCUUGCUCAUAAUAACCUCUCAAAAAUGUGAUUAUUGGUGCUCAUCAAUCUUCGCUCGUGAUAGCAUCCACGAACUUUACUAGGCUUCAUCGCAAUCUAUCAAUUUGUACUUCACCACUUCGUAGAACACAUCUGGUGGCAACGGCUCAUUUGUUGCUACCUUCUUCGCUAGCUCGUCUGCUUCACCAUUCAUUUCUCUCAGUAUUCUUUUGACUGUGAAACUAAAGAAGUAUUUUUCCAUUGAUCUUACUAUUUUCAAGUACUUUGCCAUCUCUAGGUUUUUGCUUUGUAUGAUUUGCCAAUUUGGUUUGCUAUAAGCUCGGAGUCUAUUCUGAUUAUAAGUCUCCUAACCCCCAGUGCUCUUGCCUUGAAAAGUCCCAACAACAAUCCCUCAUACUCCCCAACAAUAUUCGUGUGCUCUGCGAAACUCAAGCGCACUGCAUACAUACCUCAACUUGAUUCUUUAGGGCAACAACAAUACAGCUGAUGCCGCCACUCCAUCAUAACAAUAUGCCCAUCACAAUACAUUUCCCAGGGUUUCUCUUGUGGCUCUUUGUUUUCUUUGUACUCAUCAGAUGGAGUCCAAUCUGCCACAAAGUCAGCUAAAACUUGUGGCAGACCGCGAAGUGAAGUUUAUUGCAUACUGUGACAACUUUGUUGCUCACUUGCCAAUUCUACCCGAAGAUUCUUUGUUUUCAAAAAUGUCUCUCAAUGGGAAAGACCUUAGCACAGUGAUUGUAUAGCUCUGAAAGUAAUGUUUUAGCUUCCUGGAAGCCAUCACGACUGCAUAAGCCAUUUUCUCCAUCUCAGAAUAAAACCUCUUCACACCCGCCAAAGCCUCAGAAAUAAAGUACACUGGUAACUACUUCAUGUGACCGUCAACGUCUCUUUCUUCUACUAAUACCGCACUCAAUGCUAGAUUAGACGCUGCGAUGUACAAUAGUAACUUCCCCUUUCUCCCGGGCUUGUCAAAACUGCCAUGUUUUCUAGGUGCGCUUUCAACUCUUCAAAUGCUUUCUGCUCUGGAGCCCCCAAACAAAUUUAUUCUUCACUGCUAGUAACUUGAAGAAAGGCAAACUUCUUUUUGCUGACCUCAAAAUGAAACACCCAGAGCUGCUAUUCUUCCUGUCAAUUUAUGGAUAUCUCUUUUUGUUCUUGGCUACUUCAUUUUUCUGAUCGCCUCAAUUUUCUUAGGACUUUCCUGUAUGCCAGAUUUUGACACCAUGCAGCCCAAAAACUUUCCCUUCUUUAACCCAAAGACACAUUUCUCCAGAUUAAGCUUGAGACCAUACUUUCUCAAAUUUGCAAAAGUUUACACAAGUCUGCGAUGUGGUCUUCUUUCUUUUUACUUUUCACAACAACAUCAUCAACAUACGCGGAGAUAUUUCUUCUCAACUAAGGGCCCAGCACUAUUUGAAGCAUUCUAUUGAAUGUUGGCCCGGCAUUGCGAAGUCCUUCUAGAAUUCUCACAAAACAGAAUACUCCAAAUGGCGUGAUGAAGCUCAUUUCUUCUUCGUCAAGUUUUCUCAUCCAAAUCUGAUGAUACCCAGAGAAACAAUCAAGUAAAGACAUCAUUUCGCAGCCUGCUGCGGAGUCAACUAGUAUAUGUAUUCUUGGCAGGGGGUAGUCAUCUUUAGGACAUGCCAUGUUCAACAAUGUAAAAUCUAUGCACAUUCUCCAAACUCCAUUCUUCUUUGGGACCAUGACAAUCUUCGAGAGCCAGGUAGUAUAAUGCACUUUGCGUAUCACUCCAGCAUCUAACAGCUUUUGGACUUCCCUUUGCGCUGCUAAAGUUUUCUCUGGGGAUAACACCCUCAACUUUUGUCUUCGCAGUGGCACACGGGACACCUUGCAAAUCUUUUUUUCUCCAUGCAAACACAUAUUGAUUAUUUCUGAGGCAAGUUAUUAAGCAUUGUUCUUCUUCUUCGGACAAGUCUCUUGCUAUAAUGACUGUCUUGUCCAAAACAUCUUCACACAAUUAUACUCUUUUGAGAAAACAUCUUCACACAAUUGUACUCUUUUGGUAUGCUCAAUGGGAUGAACUCUCUCUUCAUAUAUUGAUUUCUCAUCUUGCUCUUUGAACUUGACCUCCUCUUCUUCCUCUUCUAUCAUAUGUACUGGUUUCUAAUCUAUCCUAGUAAUGUGCUCUUUUUCCCUAGCAUCCUACUGAUCUCCAUACAUAGUGAGCACUCUGUUGUGUGUUGAAAUUUUCAUGCAUAAGAAUGGCAUGUGGAUUACUGCAGCAAACUUGUUGAUAACUCCUCUGCCAAAAAUUGUCAAAUAAGAGUAUGUGAUGUCAAUCACAUCGAAGGUGACCAUAUUUGUUUGCAUCAGUGUGCCCUCACCUAAGCUUACACUCAUCUCAAUUGUGUCGCGGGACUCCACUCUUUUGUUUCCAAAACCAUAUAACGGCUUCGUUGUUGUCUUCAUUUGACUAUCUUCGUAACCCAUCCUCCUAAAUAAGUCAUAGCUUAUGACAUCUGUUGAACUCCCAUUGUCUACCAAUAUUCCCCAAAUGUCAUUGUCCAACAAAUGCUUUGUAUUUCUUGCCCAUGGUGGCCCUGAUCACUAGAGGAUCUUCGUGUGGGAACUUGUCUAACCUCAUGUCUGCCUCUGUAAAAAUUAUUGGAAUGUGAGACCACUUCGAUCUAAAUGCUCGACCAGUAGAUACGUGCCUGACUUCGCAGAUGUGAUCUUUCUUCUGUCUCUUGCUUUCGAAUACUGGAAAGUUGCAUCCCCCUCUGAUCGCAUUGAUCACAUUUACUCUAUGACCCGAAUGAUCUUGUUCCUUGAUAGGGUAGUAUUGCGAAGGCAUUUGCUGGGUGGGUCUAUCUUAGGUGGCUGUGGUAUAUUGUAAUUUUGAUGCUAACUGGGAUAGGCAGUCUCAUUUUACUGUACUGUGGAGGAAGUGGUGGAGGUGGAUAAAAACCUUGUGCAAAGUAAUUUGGUUGUUGAUAUGAGUGUCAAUUUGGCGCAGAGCUAUAAGCAGCUGACUGAAAAGUGGACGAAGUGUGGUUCACUGUCUUCGCCUGCUCUUUGCUUUGCGGCUUCUUUUUCUCUCGCCUCUAGUGCUGCUCUACACUCAUUUGUCCAAUGACCUUUGUUUUUCCCAUGCAACCAACAGUACGGUAUUUUCUUUACUUCAGAGCCUCUUCUUGAGUGGCCUCCUCUUGAGUUCGUACGACCCCCCCCCACCCCGGCCCCCUCUCGUUCCAGAGAACUGGUACGAAGAAUUUUGAAAGUUGGCUGCAUAGAAACAUUGUUGAUAGUAUUUUCAUGCUGCUACCCAGCUUGGAAUUUUUGGCUAUUCGACUGUUGUGGCAGCCAAUUUUGCUUUGGUUUGUCAUUUCUCUUUUAUGCAUUGUAUUCAUCUAUUGUCCUCUGUCUUUCUCUAUCAAACUUGCAAUACUAUUGCAUUAUGUCAAAGAGUUGCUUUUCGGACUUAGACCUUCGUCUGUCCAAGUACUCUUCGCAGGGCCUCAACCUUAGCCCUCCAAUAACAGCAUCAAUCACUGUGUUUUCUGGUACCUGAGGAGCUUUCGCUCUCGCCUUCACAAACCUUCUCAUGUACUCUUGCAAAGAUUCCUUAUCUCCUUGCUUGAUGUUAUGGAGAUCUCCCGAAGUGUACUCUUGAGGCUGAAAUCCUUGAAAAUUGUCGAACAACUUGUCCCGAAGUUGAUCCCACAAAGAAAUACUCCCCUUAGGCAACAAUGCUUACCAUUGCUAAGCCGAGCUUUUGAGCACCACCACUAGUGCUUUGGCUUUUACGCAGUCAUUUCCACCUCCCGAAGAAAUUGCAGCAUUGUAUAUCAAGACAAAGUGCCUUGGGUCUAACUCCCUGUCAUACUCUGGCAUUGACGUUGGCAUCCUAAAUCUUGGAGGCCAGUAUGCUAACUUCAGAUCAAUUGUUAAAGGUGGAAUUAGCUUCGGCUUGUAAGGAUAUGCAUUUCCCUACUGCUGCCACUGUGGUGUAUGUUCCACCAACACCUCAAGACUUGAAUCAUCUUCCCGUUACUCUUCACUAUCACCUUGACCCUCUUCGACUUGAAUUGGGUUGUUAUCAUUCUGCGCCUACAAAGAGUUGAUCUGUGCCUGCAAUAUCUUCACUUGUUCUUGCAACUGUGAUUUUCUUUGCCUUACAGUAUCUUCCAUUUUCUCUCUCUGCAAUUGUUCUAUCAGUUUUCUCUUUUUCACUACUUCUUUCAACAUAGCUUGGUAUUUGUGUUUUUCUCUCUCUGGGUCACCUUGCUGUGGUGUCUUUGCCUUCACUAUGGCUGCCUCGGCUUGCGCUCUUGUUUGGAUGUUGGACGUGGACUGUGCAUCUCUGAAUCUCUUCAACAAUCUUGCUUCGAUUCGCUUGAGAGCCACCACGUCUUCGUCUUCCACUCCAGCAUCGGUUAGGUCGACUUCAAACUGGCUGUCAGCGAUGUCUUCAACCUCAACUUCAUCUUCACUUUGUCUUCAGACCCGCCUGCAACUUGGUACGAUGUCCAGAGGGUUCGUUGCUGCUGCCUACGGGUCAUCAGCAGCAUUUUGUGUAUUGGUGUUUUUUGCUUUCUUGUUCAGCAUCAUUACGGUUAAAGGAACGAAGCACGGUGGGCGCCAAAACUGUUGGGGUAAAAAUCAUCCCCGAAGUGGGGCAACGAGUUUCCAAACCAAGGUAACAAGAAAGAUAAAGAACUGAGGAAAUGGCUUCGGGGGAGAUUCCGUCGUAACGUGUCCAUUUCCAUUCACGACGGCUCCAUUUUAUAGAACCGUAAUUUUUACACUUUACAACACAUCACCCUCAUUUUUCACUUUAUGCGAAGCAUAUUCGAGGGCAUUACAGUAACAUUACACCACUUUAACCACACCCUUUACAACUCAUCACUUUACAAUUAAGCAUAUGCCAGCUCACAUCCACGAAGCAGCCCAGCCACUUCGCCCUUUCCCCGGACACAUUGUUGUUGCCCGGUCCGAUGAUGCCGCCUUUUGACUCCACGCCCCGCGCUUCAGCCCGAGCUGUCUCCGGCUACCUUGCUCGUAAAGUAGCCUCGCGAAGUCUCCACUUCGCUCAUGCUCGCUCCAGCUAGCGGAAUUGCCAUUUCGCUCCCACUUGAUAUGCCUCCGCUCUCUCCAGCUCGCGAAGUCACCACUUCGCUUCCACCGUCUGUUCCUGAAAAACCAUACAUAAACUCCUCGAUAACCCAGUGACUUCCGGAGAAAGAGAGAUUAGAACUGUAUCGAAAAAGAAGAGGGGCGCCACCCGAAGUCCUUUUUCCUAACACUGGGCCCUGAUGGUGUCGAGACCGAGCUCUGCCCUGAGGCCGUCCACGGCGGCAGCCCUGCUCCGCCUCGUGCUAGCCGCGGUCACCCUCCGCGCCCAGGCCAUGCUCUCCCGACCACAUGUGCCAAUGGUGCCCUCCGGCCCCGCGCGCCAAGGAGAUGCCCCUGGCCGGGGUGGACGGCACGGGGAUAGCGCGUGGCGACGGUAGCACAGGGAUGCCCGACGGGGCGCUCGGCAAAGGCAAGCGGGCUGGCGGUGUUGUUUAGGCCAUGAGAGAGGGGGAGGGAGGAAGGAGAAGGGUGGUUGCAGUGGGUCCCAUGUUCUUAAUAGGGGCAAAAUAGUCUUUUCACAGGAAAUUUAACGGUGGUCGGAUGGCAAAUCGAAUAGAGUGUCAAUUUGGGAACGAAAGUUGAAGUCAAUGUUAAAUAAGGAACGAAAAAAAUUUAAGGGUUAAGGUGUCAAAUAAGGAAUUGUCUCUUCUCGUAAUGGGUAGAUGUUCCUCAUCCUAUCCUGUAUGUGAUCUAUUGGAGGGGAGGGUGGCCGGCGGCCAUGGAAGAGGCACAGAGGGAGAGGGGUCCGCGGCUAGGGCUGGGCAGGUACUAUUCACGCGUGAACAUGAGGAGAGGAGCCUGGAGGUUGGAGAACGAAAUGUGAAAAUGAUCAUGUUCCUGGUUUCUGUAGGAACACAUACCAGGAUAAAGAGAUACUAUUGGGAAUUAGUGGCAUUGCACAACCAUUGUUAAAAUUCUGAAAGCAUGUGGUCAUGUGGAAAUAUAGAAAGAAUUACUGAAGAUUGAUACUCAAAAGUUGAAUAUAUUCAGUCAUGAGUACAACAAAACUGUUCGUCUUAUUUAGCAUUUUGUAAGAAAGCAACAUAGAAAAAGGGAAAAGCCAAAUGAUUACAUGUACAUAAAUGUGUCAUCUAGUGAUCAAGGUAGAGCGGUACAAAUAGGAUCAGGCUGUUUGUGAUGAUAUAUCUAACAGCAAUAAAAAACCAUAAAGAAACAUCAUCAGGACUACCAAAAAUGAAGUGUGCACUCUGUAUCUAAAAGGUAUAUUUCACUACAAAAUACUAUUUCCGGCUACCCCUCUCUUCAAGCUAACAAAGUUGAAGCUAUUUGACCAUGAAAGAACUCUUGCAGCUGCAGCCCCCAACAGCACUAGGAUUUGUAGAGACCUGCGUAUCAUAAAGGCAAAUAUAAGUCACGCACAACAGAACUUAGAGAAUAUAUGAUGUUCUCGAGUUGAAGUUGGCAACAGUCCACAGGUUUUUAUAUUCUUGAUUUUUUAACAAACACUUGGAAUGCAUAGCAAGAAAGUAACAAAAGUGGGAAGUGGAACCAAAUGAAGCAUGUGUAUUGAGGAAGGUGACUGAAACAUGAAAUCCCUAAAAGAUGAAACAACUUGUCCAUUUCUAAACUUCUCUGAAACCUCAACUCUUGAAAAUAAGUCUCAGCCAUUAGGUAUCGAAAGUCUAGUUCCAGAAUUUUUUGUUCACACAUUAGCAAAUAAACUAUUUUGCACAAUUUACAAGCAGCAUAUGAUUGGAAAGCAACACUCACAAUGAAAAGAAAGAACCAUAAACUACAGCAGCUAGCCAGUGAAGAAGAACCCAACUAAGCUAGGUUGACGAGCUAGGAUAUGCUGCAGCAGGUGUAGAGGGGGACCACACUCCACAAAGCCGAGGAAUACCCAACCCAACCAUGACACCAACCCCUCACCACUGCAGGUGGUGUGGGCCCCCCCCCCCCAAUGGAAGCAACCCAGUCUCAUCUUCCUCACCAAUCUUGAUUCGCAUACUAGUCACCAUCCAGGUCAAGGGGCAUGGAUCGCAGGUGUCCAAAUUGUUAGUUGCAGGGGGCAUUGUUUUCUGGACACUAGUUUGAACACAGAAUGUGACCUCAACUAAGCUGGGUUGAUUAGGUAAGAUAUGCUCUGAAUCAGCUAGGCUGUUGUCUUCUGUCUUAGCCAGCGUAAUCUAACCUAGUUGCCCAAACCCUCCCUUCUCUCAUUUUUGUUCCCUCUCUCCUUCCCUCCUUCUCAUAGUCCUCUUUUCCAUAGCCUGCCUCACGCAUCUUACCCAAUCAGCGUGAGGACAUCAACCAUGUUCACUUUUGACCCACAAAUUGGGAAAACGUUCUGAGGUCAUGGAGGCUUUGACCUUUAAUCUAUUUGCAUGGCACCUAGGCACAUACAAGUGAAUUGCACAUGGUGACUAGAUGCACAUGGGCAUAAGCAACAAGGGCUACCAAACAUUGAGCAGCGAGUCAGUUUGCGUGGCCUAUGCCACGAAUUGGUUAAUUUCUUACUUGAUGGCCACACAUAGAAUGGCUGAUUUUAGUGCCUGAAAAGUGUUGGCCUGAGUGGCUCUCUCAGUCAUGUGAAGACAGGUAAGCGAUACCUACAAUUCACACCUCCUGAAUCAUUUCAUUCUCAUUCUUCCCCUUACUUCCAGAAGGGUCUCAAAUGAGUAGCAGCAAGAUAACCAGAAUACAAUACAAUGAGAUGUGCAAUGUUAUAGUGAGGCACAGGUCAAUAAACUGCUAUGUGUGCACAUUUUUGUUACUCUAUGAACAGAAUCUAGGAUGAUUAGAUGAAAAUGGGCAACAAUUACUUCAAUAACCCAGUACAAGCUAGGCAGCUAGCCAGUAAAGCCGCUAGCUCACAGAUGUCCACUGUGAACAGUAGCAUGUGGCAAAGUUUAAGCAAGAAACAGCCUGGCAAGAUUUAAUUUAGACCGUAAUUUUCUAUUCUUUGUUUCCUACCACCUCCAAGGCAACUGCUCCAAGUUAAUCUUGUGCUUGUAACAUGUUUUGAAGCAAUACAAAAUGUUCUGAUGAGCCAAGAUCCACACCGAGUCCUCAAGGUGGGGAAGAAAGAGCCACAAAACUAUUAAAUGGAGUACAGACUACAGAGGAUCGUGGAGGAAUAAAAAAACAAAGAUAGAAAUUUAUGUAUCUGUAUUUCACUUUAUUUUUAACAAAAUUGGAAAUACUAAGUCAACAGUAUUUCUGAAAUCCAUCUUUAGGUGGCCGGUAUUUCAGUUUCACAUUCUUCCAACUUUAUAUUUCUCCACUGUACCAACUUAUCACAGGCAUAUGCGCAUGAGCUGAAUGUUCUUGAGUGAUAAUCCAUUGAAAAACAAAGGAGCUAGAACAUUUAAGAUUUCAGCAUAUUUUGAACUAACUAGUCUAAUUUGCAGAAAAAAUAUCUGGAAAAAGUGAAGAAACAAAGUUUCGAACUAACCACAAAUGCUGAACGUAUAAGUUCCUCCUCAUAAUCCACAGUGGCGCCUUUCACAAAGUCAUACGAGAUGUCAUCCACAACCAAUUUAACACCAUCAGUCUCAAAGACCCUACAAGUAAAUUAAACAAUUACUGAGGGAAAAAAGUGAAGGAGAACCAUGGUCACAGUUGUAAUGCACAAUAAAUUCACAUGCUGCGCAAUGAAUCUUAAAGGAAUAAUUGAAUGGAAGAAAAUCUAGAAUCUCAAUCAAAAUAGAUAACUCACCUGUCAUCUGGGUUUUUCUUGUCAUCGAGAGAGAAAGAAUACUGGAACCCAGAACAUCCACCAGCUUCAACGCUUAACCGCAGCAUCUUACCUUCAGCAGAUGGUUCCUUACCAUGUAAUUGUUUUAAUCUCUGCAAAGUGUUAAAUUUCUGAGCACAGCAUAAAAAGAAACUACAACGGAAAUAAAAGGACAGCAUGACAGGAAUGCUUUCUCGGUCGCAAAAGGCACAUCGUAAGUCCACUUGACACAAAGGAUAGAACAUAAAUGAGAUGCAAGCAGCUCGUCCGAUAAAACAUGGUGGGAAGUACCCCCACGCAAAUUUUAGCAAUCCAGAAUUCAAUUGGUCGCAAUAUGUAAUCACCAGAUUUUUUUUGUCAAGUUCCUAGACAUGUAUCAUGCUUCUGGGAUUCACAAAUUAGUAUUGGUGCUUCAGGAUGACUAAAACUAAUUUUCUUCAGUUGGAUCCACCAUCUAUCCCUUCAGAGCAACAAAACUAGGUACUAAGGCAUUUCCAGCUUCCCCAUCGGGACCAAUUUAAGGUAGCACAGAAAUCAAAUCCUCCAUAGGAGGCUAAAGCCCCCCGAAAAAAACUAGAACACACCCCCACCCCGCCCGCCCCCCCCCCCCCCCCCCCCCCCCCCCCCAAACGCACAGAGUUGAAAAACUGCGGUGGAACAACCUACUUGUAGGUAGUAGGUAGUAGGGGAGAAAGACGUACCCGGACGCAACCCUCCGUCAUGCGCACGGCCUCCGGCUCCGCUGGCGACUGCGACGCCCGCUCCGCGGAGACAGCCGAGGGAGAGGAGGAGAGCAGCCGGUGGUUGGCGCGGACGCGGCCACCGGCCAGCGCCGCUAGGCGGCGGAGAAGGGGGCGCGUCGACGACGACGCCAUCGCCGCUGCCAACGCGGCGGCGGCGGGGUAAGCGGUGCCGGUGGGAGGCGGAAGGGGAAUCGGGUUUGGCUUUGAGCGAGCCGGGUCGGGCUGAGAGGAUGAGCAGUGUUGCCUCCCACGAGGGACGCGUCGAUUUGGAGGUGGUCUGCCCCGUCGUCGGUGUCGAGUGGCGUUGGAUUCGUGCCUCUUGAUUUGUGAAAGGAGAAUUAUUAUUACUCUAGGCUAAACAUUAGAUAUCCGUAUACUAAUUAGGGGACUAAACAUGAGCUAAUUAUAAAUAAUUGUAGAACUAUGAGCUAAUUCGCGAAAUGAAUUAUUAAGCCUAAUUAAUCCAUCAUUAGCAAAUGAUUACUGUACACCACAUUGUCAAAUCAUUGACUAAUUAGGCUUAAUAGAUUUGUCUCGCAAAUUAGGCUCCAUAUGUACAAUUAGUUUUAUAAAUUUAAUACUCUUUAAGUAUCCAAACAUCUGAUGUGACAGGUGCUAAACUUUAGCGGGUGUAUCCAAACACCCCCUUAAUUCCUUCGCUUUUAGAGUACUUCGUAAAACUAAGGGGGUGUUUGAAUACAUCCUGCUAAACUUUAGCAGCUAUCACAUCGGAUGUUAUUAAACAUAGUCUAAUUACAAAACUAAUUGGACAGAUGGAGUCUAAUUCGCGAGACGAAUCUAUUAAACCUAAUUAGUCCAUGAUUUGACAAUGCCGUGCUACAGUAACUAUUUGCUAAUGAUGGAUUAAUUAGCCUUAAUAGAUUUGUCUCGCGAAUUAGACUCCAACCAUACAAUUAGUUUUGUAAUUAGCUCAUGUUUAAUCAUUCUAAUUAGCAUCCGAAAUUCGAUGUGAUCUUGCUAAAGUUUAGCCCAUCUAAUCAAACGUCCCCUGAGGAGGACCAGAGGAGUACUGCAGACCCGCUAAUGAGUGGACAGUGGAACAUUUUCGUUUUUUUAAAUAUGUCGCUUAUUUCCACUUCUGCUAAUAAUUUAAAUUAUACAUUUCAAAGAAAAAAAUCAAAAUACAUUUAGGGGAAAUGAAAAAAAGACAUUAGAGCAACUCCAAGAGCACCUCUAUCUCACCCAUAAUACCUUCUUUAGGGGGGAAAUGAAAAAAAAACUCCAAUAGUUCCCCAACCUCCCCCAAUCUUUUUGCGACGCGAAAAAUCUUUCCCCGCGCCGCGCAAAUAUGUGGGACUUUCCUCCACCCCCAAUCCGCCCUCGAGCCUGCUUUCCCGCGUGCGAUUCACCAUUCCCGCCAGCUCCCCUCCACUUCACGACGCACAAAUCUUCGGCUUUUGGCGGCAGUAGCGGCAGCUUUCCGAGGCAGGUUUCCGAGGCGGACGGCGGGGCGAGGGGUGACGGCACCAGCGGGGUCGCGGACCACCCAUCUAUCGACGCGGAGUCGCAGACCUGCCCUGCUCCUCUCAACUGUCGCCGCGCCGUAGCCCCCUCCGCCACCGGUACGCUGCUCCUCUGGAGGCACCUCCUCCCUCUUCUCCGGGCAGCCACCCUACUCCCCGCCCGCAUCUACCACCACACCUGCUUCCUCUCCACCUUCGCCUCUGCCGCCCCUGUUCUCCCUCGAGGAGUACCUCGUCGCCGCCUCCGGCCUCGACUCAACUCAAGCCCACAUUAACUCCACCUCCAACCCCAACGCCAUCCUCGCUAUGCUCUCUGGCGUCAACCUCUCCCACACCGACAUCGCCGCCGACGUCGCUGCGGACCCGCUGCUCCUCCGCUCCUCACCCAAGAACAUCGGCCCCUGCCUUCUUGCUCUCUGCUGCUGAUUUUGAUGGAGGAAAAAUCAAUGACAUUGAGACCUGGUCACGGUGAUGGAGGGGAAAAAGAAACGGACUUCUAAUGGGCCCAAUAUGAUGAUGUAGCCUAUUUUGAAAUAUUGUGAACUAAUUAUUAACUAUUUGUUGUGGGUUGAUAUGUUUUUGGGAGAAAUUUUUUAGAAGAGUCCCCAAUGCAUAGUUUUAGCAAAGAAUUUUUUUAUACUCUUAAGAGUUGCUCUUAACGGUCAUGGAUAAACACUGUAGACCAUGGAACCACUCGAGAUUUUUUAAAUUUUUAUUCGAUUAACAAGAAUGUUUACAACGAAUUAUGGCAUUUCCCCUCACCAUUAACCUGCCAUCUUUCCUUUUCUUUUUAUUUCAACAAAUUUGAACCAAGAAUUAAAAAAAUAUCAUCACAACCGUUUACACUAUCUUAUUUAUUCACAUGACAUGCCACAAAAUGGACAAUAUUGAUCAUAUCAUCUCAAAAUUAAACAUACUUACCCUAAUUCCGUGAACAUGCACAAAAACAAAUAAAUUGCAUCCUUUGUUCAGAGCACAGAAAUUUAAAAAAAACACGCAAAGGAACAAUUACAAAAUUUCCAUGUACAUUUCUGAAGAAAAUAUGAACAUCUCACGAAUUUGCGUGAGCAUCAUGGAAAAUCACAUAAACUUUCUGGCAUGGACGCUGCAGCCACAAACCCAUAAUGGAAGAUGCGGAUACGGCAUCAUGGGCAUCAACAAGAAGAGUGACGUAUGAGAGAAAAAGAUACGGUUGGUGAAAAUAAUUGGCAACGUCGACGAGGCGUGGCUCCGGCGAACUCAAAACGUGGAGGAGGUCACCCAUCCGUGGACCACGCAAAGGAAAUUACUGCUGAAGAAGAAGCAUGCGGCGCGAAGCACAUGGAUCCACCUGGAGAAGCCCGCCCCUCCCUCCAUGGAUCCGCCGUCCAUAGAUCCAUGUGGAGGAGCUCGCCUCCAUGGAUUCACCUUCCGUAGAUUCCACGCAGAAGUGAGAAAACGGAGAGGAAAAGGGGAGGAGAAACUCCAGCAACUUGUCUCGCCGGGGCCUCGGUCGCCACACAAAUCUUGCCGCCGCCGCCUCCGGACUCUGUAGAUCCGGUGAUGAUGCACCGCCGUCUCGGUCGCGCCUCCAAUCCGGCCACCGCCGCCGCCGUCUCCUUGCUAGCGCCGGCGAAAAGAGAGAGCGUGAGAGAGGGAUACGGAGAGACGGGUAGGGUGGGAUUGAAAAGGCAAAGACCGGUCAAGAAGGUAACAGCAAGGAAAUACAUUGCUACACGACAUUGUUACACGUUAGUAGUCUCAUACAGUACCACGUAGGAUUUUUGAUGAUGUGGAGGAGAGAGAGCGAGGAGAAAGAAAGAGGUCGUUGCUUCGCGAAACAACCACCUCAUGAGCUAAAUUGUAGGACUACGAAACAACUUAACAACUAUUGUACGAGUUAUUGUUGCCACGCAACUCAUACUAUUUUAUUUUUCUUAUGCGCAAAUUAAGGAAUUAUAUACCACUACCAGACAACUUAUGGACAACCCAUUGUACGAGUUGCCUGUUGAAUCGUCUCAAGAUUACGUGUCAAUGCAUGAGACCACCUAUUAGACGACACCAAUGUAUAAGCUCCUUCCUAAUCUCUCGUUAUUUCUCUGUUUAAACGGCAAGGUUCCCAUCCGACGGCUGCGCAAGACCAGCGCCGCGGCCCACCAGCGCAACGAUGAAUUUCCGUCCCACGAGGCUAGGGCGCAGCCGCGCAGGACUUUUUUAGGGUCUGUUUGGCAGAGCUCCACGCAGCUCCAGAUCAAAAAACAACAGCUCCACCACAGAGCAGCUCCAGCGUGGAUCUAUGCUCUCACCGUGGAGCUGAGCAAAAGUGUUUGGCUGAGACAACAGCUCCAAAUUCAGAAACAGAGUUUUUGGUUGGAUUGUCCACUAAUGCCCUUGGUGUUUUCCAUUUUUUCUUCUCAUUUUUUUCUGCUUAUAAGAAAUAAAUGUAAAUGUGAGAAAACAGUUAUGCGCCAAUUAACGAUUUGUUGUCAACUGUGUCGUUUAGCUGGUUGCCGGCUUAUAUAAAGUUUCUAGUGAAUUUAUGUUCGGCGUGGUAGCUACCGAUUGGGUGUUUUCCCAUUUUUUUAUUCUCAUUUUUUCUAAUUACGGGGGAGGUACGCAAUAGUGAUCAUCCUGCUGUCAUAUCUGGCCGUUGAAUCCAUAGAUCGAUAAAGACCGGACAAAAGCCCAGUCAUUUCCCCAAGAAGUUGAUUAAUUGUUCAUACAUAAAUUAAUUGUUCAUACAUAAAUAAUUGUCCAUACAUAAAAAAUAAAUUUGAUAAUUCACUACUUCAUUACAUUCUACCUCCAAGCAAGAGCAAGAUUGGUGGCCAGCUCAUCGCGAAAAAUAUCCAUUGUAGUGACACUGCCUUCUGAAGUAGAUCCAUCCGAUGGAACUACAAAUCGAUUGUACCGUUGCGGUAUUGUAGGGACAAAAUUAGGAUCACAAUCAAACCGAGCAAAGUCUGAAUCCUCACUAUUAUGCUCACGAAUGAAAUUGUGAAGGACCAUACAAGCAAUAACUACCAUUUUUUGUUUCCACAUCGGGUAGUUCAGCAUUUUGUAUAAAAUUUGCCACUUCAUUUUCAAUUUCGCUCAAUCACAUUUCGAAUAGAAGAAUGGAUGCGAUUGAAUUUUUCCUUUGGAGUUUUUGGUUCCAUACCUCUAUGCUACUCAGGCAUAUGAUACCUCUCACCCUUAUAUGGAGCUAGAUAACCUGGACGAUUGGGAUACCCUGCAUCGACAAUGUAGUAUUUACCUACAAAUGAUGACAAAAAAUAAAUUUAUUUAUAGUCACGCAUAAUGGUAAAGUAACUAUUUCAAUAAAUUUUACCUUGCGGUGGAUGUGGAAAGAAUUUCUCGUCCACACUCAAUGCAUUGUAUAACACACUUGUGUCAUGCAUAGUUCCUGGUUGGCCCGUUGACACAUAUGUGAAAAUGUAUUAUGUCAACAAGUCCACCUCUGCUACCGAGACAGGCAGAACUGCACUAUAAGCCCACAAACUAGUUCAUUAUAUGUGACAAGUUGUCUAAUUUUGAUUAUGUAAACUAUAUGCAUUAUACAUUUUUGUGCACCCAUCAAAUUUUAUCUAACUUCAUUAUGGAUGCUGAGGUAAACAAGCGAUUCAACUCGUACCACCCUUAAUCGACACUUGCUAUUAGCUGGGCGAUAAAUAGUGAUGCAAUUUCUCGUUCUGGGCACUGAUCUUUUCCUCUCAUUUUCAGGAUCUUAUCAUGGCUUUCGUGUAUAUACAGGAGCUUCAAAAUAAGCUUGUUUGUACAAUGCUCUAUACGUGCAUUUUUACGGACUAUCGUUGCACACAGUUGAGGUGAUUUUCCAAGAAGCCAGAGAUUUUAUCUGUCAGGAAAUAAUAAGGGUCCCUACACCUGCUGAAUAAUUUAACCAGAUAUGAUUAACAUAAGGUAUUGACAAUCAGAUAUUUCGGGUCUUUCGACAAAACAAGCAACAAAGUAUAGAAAUCGGACAAAAUAUGCGAGAAUGCCAAAAUGGUACCAAGCCAUCCGCGGCCACGCUACCACCGUUGGCCGCGUCGCCCAGGCCAGCCGCGGCCCAGCUUGCGCCAUCCAGGCCGGCCGCGCCGCCCAGGCCAGCCGCGGCCAGGCUUGCGCCAUCCAGGCCGGCCGCGCCGCCCAGGCCAGCCGCGGCCAGGCUUGCGCCGCCCAGGCCAGUCGCGGCCGGGCGCGCCGCCCAGGCCCGCCGCGGCCAGGGUCCCGCCGCCGGGCGCGCUAGUGACACCGCCGGGAUGGGGAAGUCCAACCCUAGGGGUCGGAUUGGAAGAUGAAGGGGGCGGAGGAGGUGGAGGAGGAGCUGAUCUCCUCAUUCCCGGCGGCGGUCCGGCCACCGACGGAGACGAAGGCGCUGGAGGCGGCGGCCGGCGCUGGAUGCGGCGGGGAAGAAGGAAGAAAGAAAGCGUCGGAUGAAAAAAAGAGGGGCGGCGUGGAGAAAAGAAUAGACACGAACCGGUACGAGGAUGUGUAUAAUCGAUGGCAUUGGUGGGUAAUUUCCACCAACUCCAUGAGGGGUUACAAAACCAGCGUUUUGAGAGCACCCCAGGGGUGCUUCGUGGAUUUGGUGGAUCUGGAAGCUGGAUCCAAUUUUUUUGCGGAUCUGGAUUUCACGGAGCUGCACCGUUUAGCUGGAAAAAAUGGGAGCGGAGCUGUUUUUAAGGAUCUGGAGCUGCGUGGAGCUCUAUCAAACAGACCCUUAGAUAGCCUUUGGUUUGGAGAGCGAGGUAAAAUGGUAUGGAUCCGUACCUAAUUUUAAGGAUAGGAUAGAUCCAUCUCCGUGUUUGAUGGGAGGAUGGAACUGUUCGAUUAUUUUUGAGACAAUUCCUUCUGCGCCAUUAUAAAAGGUCUUGGUUCCGUAUCUGCUAUCUGCCAUGAAAAAAAGUUCUUGGUCCCUCAGUGCCAUUGGCUCAUGUUUUUGUUCUCUGAGUGCCACCGCUGUUACUUCGAUCCGUUACGUAAAAUUGACGUUAGGAGCUAUCUGGACGUCAGUUUAUUUUGUAACCGACAGUUUUACCCUUAGUUUUCCUUUACACUCCCUGUCUUCACCGCCCUUUCUUUUUUCUUCCUUUCCUACCCGGUGGAGGACCUCCAUCCGCCCCCACGGCCUGCCGCGAGGCGUAGCAAUGGCAGCGGGGCGCAGAGAUUGCGAGCGGCGCGGCAGGGCGUAGCGGCGAGAUGGGAGCGGCGGCUACUGCUCGUUCUCAUUGGUGCCGUCGGCGUCAAUCCUAGCAGUCAGCCCCCGGCGUGGCCGCGACACCCUGGGCAAGGCCGGCCCCGCAAGUCCUCUAGGAGCAGCUCGAGCAACAGAGAGCUUGGCCUCAGGGUCGAAGGGCGUCCGGCGACGUAGCUCGGGGGGAGGAGCUCGGGCCGGAGCAGCGCGCGCGGAGCUAGGCUCCAUGGAGGGCGGCACGAUUGAGGCAUCUCCGCUUCCCUCACCUCCAGGAUGGUGCCCGCCCCGGCGAAGACCUCGCACACCACCAUGCUCGUGGUGCUGAUGGGUGACGUCCGCGCCUGUUUAGUUGGGAGAAGAAAGCAGGAAGAUGAACAGAAGGGUAAAAUGGACAUUCGGUCUUGCUGGUAGCUUCCUUUUCCGCUAAUCUAGACAGAAGUGGCACCGAGGUCCAAAAAAAGUUGGAGCGGUGGCUCCCAAGGCACCGUAAAUUUUUUAUGGUAAAUAUGGAAUUAGAAACUUUUUUAAUGGCUCACGGGGAAUUGCCUCAUUUUUUUCGAAAGAGUGAGGAUGGAAGGGUUCUUAUUCCGUUAACACCGUUAACCGUGGGGUCCGUUUGUCAGUGAAACAAGUCUCUCACCCUCUUCCUCAACGCUGCCGCCGCCCUUCAUUUCAAGCCCUUGCAUCCGCUCGACCGCUCAAAUCUGAACCAUGCGCAAGCUAGAAAUAUCAGCAAUCAACUAAUCAUUCCUUCACACCUUGGCCUGAAGAUCACACCCGAAGCAAUAUGUCAUUUCUUCAUCGGAUUAUGGAGCAAGAAAAGAAAAUUUUGCCACGUCUUGUCUCCGUCCAGCACCCGUCGCUGCCAUGCGCAUCGGCCGGUCCAGCCCCUUCCGUUGAGCCUGCUCGUCCCGUAGGCAAGCCCCCGUCGCCGCAGGUGAGCCGUCGCCCCGCAGCCCUGCUUGCUGCUCGCCUUGGCCGUGCGCCUCGCCGGCGGCCGGCCGCCGCCCCACGGCUCGCACGCCCCGCCUGCGAACCCCACCGCUGCAGCGCUGCUGCUCGGCCUGGCCUCGCGCCCUGGUUGCAAGCUUCCGGCGGGCGGCGGCGCCGGCAAUCGGCACCCGCCGCUUGAACACCUGUGCGAGAGAGACGCGAGCAAGCUAACGGUUUUUCACGCCGUUGGAAAGGGAUGAGCUCGUCCGACCUGAAAUUUGGAAUGAGCCGGUGCAGCAUCUCGAAGGAAUAUUCUUGUUGUGGGAUGGCUCCAUCCCUCGAGUCCAUGAGCCAACGCAGUGAAAAUUGGGAUGGAACGGCUCCGUUCCAGUCCAUUCCUCAGACGCAUCCAUAGGUGAUGACUGAGGGCAACUGGAUUCGACUGCUUGAUACGUUGAAGUGCAUAAUGAUACAAAUCUUGCUGUUUUCUGAAGUACUAAUUUAUGUAAGAGUUGGAUUUUAAAAGCAAUAGCCUUUAAAUUAAAACCUCCAAAGAUCAAGGAAGGUUCUCUUUUUUUUGUCACAAAAAUAAUUCUAACUCUAGAAAUACUCCCAUGAAUAGAGGGCUUCCUAAAGACCCUAGAAAUAGAGGAUGGAGGAGAAAAUUUGAAGACCUCCCAAAAUAGAGAGAUAUGUAGAGAACCUACUGAAAUGCGUUUUUUUAUUAACCCUUUAAACUUAGGAUAGGAGACUGUUAUAGGAUCUUGCUUAUUUUCUCUCCUACACGACUCCAAGCGAGCAGUCCUUAGCGUCACCAUUACACGUGAGUUCAAACUUCUUCAUAUUCUCCUAUUCUUCUCCAACUUUAGACGAUCUCCUUUUUGCCUUUCUCAGUCGUCUCAGUGGUUUGAUACCCCACACAUGCUCAUAGCCACUAUCUGCCCACCUCGAUUUUGUGGUCUUUCUCUCUCUUGAUCCUUUAGCCUCCUGCAAAUCCCUAAGAUUGACCACAAUGGAAGCUAAAAACAGUAUAUAGGGAAUAAACAAUUUCUAUACUAAUCCAAAUACAUUAUAAAACUAGUCCAUAUAACAAUUUAUUUCUCUCCUUCCUUCACUUUCUCUCCAUCUCUCUCCUUCCUCCCCUUUCUCCAUGCCCCACCGCUACUGCCUACUUUUUGUACUGGCCAUUAUGACAUUUGCAAUAUCUAUAGCCUAUAGAUCACUGUCAUAUGAUCCCACCUCUAAAGACUACUUGAUCCAAAUACAUUGGGUCGACCUAACAAUUCACUUGACCAAUUUUACCAUCAUUUUAUUAUAUGGAACUUAGAGUAUUCAAUGUAUGUUAUUUUAGAUCUAGCACUUGUCUUCUUUUGUUUUAAGAUUAACCCAUUGAUUAUAGUCCUUAGAGUUUAUUUAAAUAAAACUGUAGGGUUAUUAUUGAAGAGAAAAUCUCAUAAUAAGCCUGAAUUUUAUCUUGUAGGUAUAUUUUCUCACAUAGCUCCUUGAACUUGUAAUUUACAUCAUCAACCCCCUUAAAUUGAGUUAUUAUCUUACUCUUGAAAAUUCUAAAGCAAAUUCUUAAAUUUUUUUAAUCAGGUUUACAUACAAAAUUGUGAAAUUAAACCAUUUUGUAUUGAACCUUGAUCCUCUUAUCUUUUAGCGAAAAAAAGCCUUCGCUCUAGAAGCUUGGAACUAGAAUCCUUAGGGCCUGUUUGUUUGAGCUACAACUUUUGAGCUUUUCUAAGAAGUUGUUGGUGCCUGGUCUGCAGUGUGGAGCUUGCGGCAGCCAAGGGUCUGCGGUGUGGAGCUUGCGGCAGCCAAGGGUGGUGCGGCACCUUCGGAGGCUGCGAUGCCUGCAGCUGGUGGCACGGGCGGCGAUGUCUUAGCAGCGAUGCUCCGUCGAUUUCAACUUGUGCGGCGGGUGUGGCGGGGACGCCUGUGGUCCUUGCGGCAGUGCUCGGUGAUGGUGGGGACGCCUGCAAUGCGUCACCAAAAGCCGAUGUUUGUGUGUGGCAGCAAUGAUGCGUGAUGACGGUGUACCACGGCUAUGCGCGGUGAAGUCUUCUAGGUGAAAGCCAUUCCACAAUGGAUGCGCGUCCGACAGCGCUAUGCAUCGUGCCCUUUCUUGGAGGCGAGGCGUCGUUAUGGAAGCUUUGCUUCACCUCAUCCUGUCAUGUUGGCUACUCUGUGGUUUAUUUGGUGGUUGGCACUACUUGCUCGUGAGGUGUGGUUAGGUCGGCACGCUGAGCUUGGUGUUGACGGUGGAGACCAAGUUGCCGAUUCAAGGUGCAUGUGUACGCGGUGGCAGAUGGCGGCUGAGAAGAGGUGUUGGUGGAUUGGUGGGCAUGAUUUCUGUUGGCAGUUUAGGGUGGUGGUUUGGUGUGCCAUGCGUCUAACCACGAAGUUGGCAUGAAGGUCGCCGUGGGAGGAGUGGGAUGACAAAGGAGCACCUGUGUGGUGUGGCGGCAGAUGUGCCCGCAUAGCGGUGGCCGUUCUGGUGCAAGGAGACCUUCUAUCGGCCGUUGGAGGCCCCGUGUGGCACAUCUGCUAUCUUUGUUGAGGCAACUGGGUUGCCUUGAGCUAUGGUGUGUGCGGUCAGAUCACGGUGGGUGGGGUCAUCAUGGCGACGGUCGGACGCAGCUACUCAUGUUUCGGCAGCUACUCAUGUUUCGGCCUAAGCUUGCAGCGGGUCAGGGUGGCCAUGCUCUGGCUAUCAGGGGCUGGUCCGGCAUGUGACAACGUCGAGAGGCGGCACAAGUGGAUCCGAUGGUGUGACAGCUACACAGCUUGCUGUGGACUAUGGCAACUAGCCCUACAUGGCAGUGGCUAGCUCAGUGUGGGACAUCGUCGGCCAUGAUGGUGCAAGCGGUGACAAAUGGCUUAUCGGUUUGAUGGUUUUAUCCUCCAGUGAUGGCGGUGCAGCUUGGCAAUCGGUUAGGAGUGGAGUGGUGUUUAUGGAGUAGCGAGGUGUCAUGCGGUGUCAUUAUGUUGUUGCUCGGUGUUGCAGUUGUAUUUGUUUGGUCCAGUUUGGAUUUUACCUUCUUUUUAAUAUAAUCAGCAGCGCUCCUUGGUUCGUUAAAAAAAAUGGUAUGCUUCGUUAAAAAAAAUGGUCCGGUAGGAAACCUUCCAAUCAACCCAUUUCUUUUCCGUAGCACACCAGUAUCUUCCUAAUACCCACUGACAAGCAUUCACACAAUCACAUCUAAGCUCACCUUUGACAACUAGCACAUCUUCCCCCAGCCCACCGUCCAGGCCCGACCCUAGAGGUGUGCGACCCAUGCGACGGUACAGGGUCUCCAAUUUUUAAGGGCCUCGAUUUUCUAGUGCUCAACCCAUCAAGCCUACUAAUCCCUGGCCCAAAACAUGUUUCUCUUGAUCAUUUGGAUCACUGAAGCAACACCGAAACCCAAAGCUUCUUUUCCCAUCAUGCCGCCAAUGCAGUGGAGGCGUGGAGGCGUGGAACUUGAUUCCUCUUGAGAUCUUCUUGCUUCCGAACGGGACAUGCUCACGUACUGAGUUACACAGCUAGAAGACAAGCAAGUUAAUUGUAAGGUGAUUUUCUGUUUCUUUACUCGAUUGAUUGCUGAUCGAUUCUACUUAUUGCUUUACAUGGACUAGUUAACGAGCUUUUUUCUUAUCUUUUUUAUACAUGCACGUCAAUUGGUCUAGAUAUCUGGUGUUUCAAGAUCAAAGCUAUAUUUUCUGCAGGAAACCGAUCUAGAAAAUAUGAUUCUGCUCGCCAAAGGCAUAAGAAAAAAAACCAAAGGACAGAGGAAUGAACUCAACCUCAGGAAAAAGGCUAUGGAUAAGUAUAUUAUUAAAAAAUCGUUAGGAAGCCUCAUUUAAAGUUCUGAACAGGGCCUCGGUUUUUUGCGGGACGACCCUGCCACCGUCCGAUCCAUCGUACAUUCCACCGCGAAUCUAAUCGUCCACACUCCACCGAAUCUAAUCGUCCAUUCCGUCGAUUUGAAAAAAAGAUUAUGGUCCCACUCAUCAGGAGGUAUAAAUUCGCUCUCCCUCCAAACCGGGAGCCGAAGCCAAAUCAUCAGCGCAGCGCUGACGGCAGAGCGAAGCGAAACGAAAACCCCAGUCGCCCUCCUCCACUCCCCACCUCGUCGCAUCCGCCGCACCACGCUGCCGCUGUCCAGCGAUUCCAGAUCGAACGAUCGGUAGGGCGGUCCAGCGCGCUUCGCAGGUAAGGUUAUAUCCUGCGAGCUCUUGCGCGGCUAAUUUCCCAUUUUUAAUCUGGUUGGUAAUGUUUGCGGGAGGUCUGAUUCAUGGGUGGGUGCGCGCUUGGUUUGGGCCUCGGGCGAUCCGUUCUCAAGAGUUUGGGAACGGAGGGGGUGUUGGAUGCUGCGUGUUUCGGGCUCUUAGGAUUUAGUUCCCUUUUUGUUUGGUGUGUUGGGGAACAUUUCAGUACGGGGGUUUGUCUGUCCAUGAGGAAUUUGUGGGGAACUCUAGUGGAAUGCUGGGGUUUGUGGGACUGGAUGACGCUAGGAUUCGCUAGAGUUUGAUGAAUAUUGGCGGCUGGAGCAAAAUUUUUGGUGGGAUUGUGGUGAUCCUCUGGCCUCUGGUUUGCUUGUGUUUUGGGGGAUUUUUUUUGUCAGGUUUGUCAAGUCCCCGAGAGUUUCGGUUGUUUUAGUGGCAAUGCGUAUUUUCUUCGAUCCUGGUAUUUUUAGGUCGUAAUUUCGUUGUAUUUGUCCAUUGUGGGUUCAUGGAUUGCUGCAAUCAGGGGGUUAUGUUGUGUUUUGGGCUGAAAUCAGGGGGUUAUGUUGUGUUUUGGGCUGAAAUUGUUCGAUUCCUGGGUUGGGUUUCUGGAAUUGUUUGCGGGCUUCAGUUCUUUUUGUGUAAUUUAUUUGACCUCAUUAUACUGAUUGACCUUGGAAUCCAUCAUAGACGUUUGCACAGCGCAAAUGAGCAAGUGACUGGCUUGUUUACAGUUAAAUUGAAUUUUAACUUGUGAUGCUAUAGGUGAUCCUGGAGAUGAUAGUGAAAAUCUAGCAGUAGCACCAGCUUGGAUCAAGAAUUAGGGGGAAUGGACAAGCCACCAGAGCUUUCUCUGGGCUCAAUGCAUCUGGACAUUGCCUCUGCCUUCUAUGCUGGCAAGCCAGAGAUUGCUACCACAGCAGCAGCGCUCUCCCAGGCGCUUGGGCAAGCACAAACAUGUCCCCGCCUUCAGCCUUCACUGCAGAGCCUCCAGUCGUCGCUUCUUCUGUGGCCUCCGGUGAUAUGGUCUACAUGGGCUGCUGUGAAGCACCCUAUGCCAUUACCUCAUCUCCCUCCAGCUAAGAAGCUGAAGUUGCUACAAACUUCAUCAGUACUGACACCAGCUUUGCCAGAUACGGAGGCUUUGCCAGUUGUAGAGUUGCCACUGCCAAAGCUUCCAGUGCGUCAUCCAUUGCCAAAGCUGCAGGUGCGUCGGCCGUUGCCAAAGCUGCAGAUGCAUAACCCGUUGCAACAGGCAUCCCUAGUGCUGGAGAAAGAGUCACUGAAGCAGGAGAUGCCGGUAACACCACUAACAUCUGCAACCUCCGUUAACCUGUGAGUUUUAUCUCGUUGCACCUUAUCAUGUGAUUCUUAAGCUUUAAGUCUUAUGGUGUAUAUAAUGAGAUGGAAUGCUUCCAAAGAAUUGAAUAUCUUUCAGAUUACUUCCUGUUUGAGCCAUGCUGAAUGUUUUUGGAGAUAUUUGCCCAAAUGUGUAUGUGAAUAUCUAAAUCAUAAUUUAGUGAGAAAACCAGGACACAUUAAGAUAUGAUUUACAAAAAAUUAUGUAUAUUGUACUUGUUCCUUCUCUACUUUUGUCAGAGCAAGAAAGAGUUUCCUGGAAACUUGAAAUACUUGUGUCAAAAGGCUUAAUGACACAUCACCAUCUUUUGACGAUAUUUUUUUACUGGUGAAUUGUUUUUGUUCUCUUCACGAUGCUGAAUUCCCAAAAUUUGUGGAUUGAAACACUAUCUGGAUCGAAAAAUAAGACACCGGCAGGGAUAAGAAACUGCAAGUGCAAGAACUCAAAAUGUCUGAAGCGGUAGGUUCCCUAAUAAGUUUCUUCUAUGUUUGUGAAGGUCCUAUCAAUUUUCAUCCAAAAACUAUGCAGCAAAAGAAUUAUCUUGCCAUCGCAGUUGAAUUUUGGUUUUUGUUUUCUCUUCUUAUGUUUUCCUUUAGUUAUUUAGAUACAACACAUAAGCCUUACUCCAAACUGUUUGCAUGCUAAAAUAUCACUAUGGUUGUACCUUCAUCAUAUGUUGUGUGUCUGCCACCUUUAUUGUUUUAGUUCCACCUGGAUGUAAAAAGUUCACCUGAGUAAUAUGUAUAACAAUCACAUCGAAUAAAGUUGAAAGUUAGAAGAAAUGGAUAAAGAGCAACUGUAGGAACUGCAAGGAAAUAAUUUCACACAGCACCCUAUUUUAGUCUUUUCUCAAGAGGCAUGCAUGUGACAAUUUUUACUUGAUGUACGACUAAGGGCUCUGCUACUUCAUCUUUUUAUAACUUUGUCACUAAGUUGAUUGCUAUAUGAAACUUGCUUUAUUGUAUUGUAUACAGUCAGUGCACCAGACACAAUGGAUUGAGCAAAGCAACCUACAGUCACAUGCAUAUUGCCUUCACUAUAGAGAUGGAAGCUAAAAAACCAUAGAAAGCAGAAUUCUGGUCUCAAAUUUUGAAAGAGUAUAAGGAGUACAUAGGAAUCCUAUUUUAAGUCCCAUGUUGGGAAACUCAUACUUGUUGAGCAGUUAGCACCUUUCAUUUCUCUGAAUAGUGUGUCCCUUUUAACAACGAUGAGCUGAUACAUUUGAAUUUCUGUUGCUUCUGUUAAUGAUGUGCCCUCUGCGAUCAAGCACUGGAAACGGCAAAGCACCUGUUCUCCAGAUGCUCCUACACGUUGCAGGUGUGGCAUGAAGUCAGCACUUCAAUCAACAUUCAGAACACUGCACCGUUACAGCAUCAGUCACUGCUGGAUUGGUGGCUGCAGAAAAGAGCUGGUUUCACUACAAACAAGCGCAAAGGCCUUGAUUCAGCUUUCAUGCUAAUCUCCUGGAACCUUUGUAAGGAGAGGAAUGACGGAGUUUUCAAUCGUUCCCAGGCCAAGAAUGUCACUACACGAGUCCAACAGAUCACAGCAGAAGGUGAGAGGUGGUGCGCGGCAGGCGCCAAGAUCUAGCAGCUCUGGGCUGGCCAGGGAACCUAGGGACGCCAAACAUGGCGCUGUUGUUCUCAGCACACGCUUAGAACUCUAUAGCUAGGUUUCCACCCAUUGGUUGUAAAGGUUUUAUGUGUUAGCAAGUUUUGCAACUUGAACCGUGUGCGUGCGUCCGGAAGGUGUUGUAUGAUUAUUUCCUUCUUAAUACAAAGAUGCGCAGCUCUCCGGCGUAUUCACGAAAAAAACAGUUAACAGUUCUUAGCAUUUCAAUAAUAUUUUUUAUGUUACCUGGUUUCUUUUUUUAAGUCAUAAUCCUACUCAUUGGUCUUUUGAUUGAAUCAUUUCUAGGUAUUGUGAGUGUUUUGCAGCAGGGAGAUACUGCAAAGGUUUCAAUUGCACAAACUGUUAUAACAAUGGUAGUCAUGAUAAUGCAAGAGCAAUACAGGAUGCUAUCGAUGCUGUACUGGAACGUAGACCUAUGGCCUUUAUGCCCAAAGUCGAGAACAGAUCAUGCUCAAAGCAAAGUUCUGAGGUAGGGCAUGGUGUAUACUUUUAUUAUGGUGCUUAUGUUUAUUUCAGGGUCUCUACUUCUUUAAUAUCUUAGUUAUUCAACUAUCCUAUGUCAUUUGUGAACAAGAGUUGUUUGUUAUUUUCAUUUCUAAAUGGUGGAAGUACAAUAAAGGAAAAACUUGAAGUGACCUUUUAAGUAAAAUUGCAGGUAAUGUUUCUUGGGUUGAGAGUUUAAUAUCAUUGGAAAAAGUGUCACAUGUGAUGUGCACAAGUACUAUUUGAUGCUAAUUGUUUGGUUUUUUUUUACUUUAAAGGCCUUUUCUUUAUUUGGUCAUCUGAAGUUUUCUAUCCAUGAACUAUUUUAUGGUCAUGAUUUCAUUAUCUAACUUUCUAUCUUUUGAUACAUAUUCAAUGCUUUCGUAAUAUAGACAAAAUUUAACAUGAUCCUUUGUGUCAAUUAAAUGAUAAUAGUCGAUCACGAGGCAGGUAAUUGUUACCUAAGUAACAAACUGGAUGCUUGAGUUAAAAAGCAAUACCUUAUUAUGGUCAUAAUUUUGUUGCCUUACUUCCUUACGGUAUCUUUUCAAUGAAUGCAAAAAUUGCCAUGUUCCUGUGUCAGAGAAAGUUAACAGAGAAACAAUACAGAUACUGAGUUGCAUACUAUAUACCAUCAUGUCAUGUGUGAAUGUUAUCUCGUUUACGUUACAGGGAAAAGAAGCAGAAGGCCCACAUGUUGGGAAGCAUACAAGAGGCUGCAAUUGCCGGAAAUCAGAAUGUCUGAAGAAAUACUGUGAGUGCUUCCAAUCUAAUGUUCUCUGUUCAGAUAACUGCAAAUGCAUGGAUUGCAAGAACUAUGAGAGUAAUGAAGAGAGGAAAGCAAUUCGUGCCCAGAAGCAUACCGUCUUUGUGCAGAACAAGCAGAAUUAUGCUUCAAGUGGAAUUCUUCAACCAUCUUCAGUCCUUCCUCGUACAACAAAAAAUGACUCUGUUACCUCAAUGGCUGCAUCAGGCAUCCAUCAUCCCACUAGCAACAAUGGAUCUUCACAAAUAAUUCUUUUUAAACAUACUUUUCAAUGUUGUCAAUUGUCAUGUUUUCUACUUUCAUUAUAGGACUUCCAAUACAAUUUAAGGCUACCUUACUGUAGUAUACAUGAUAUGGGCUGUUGUGCUGCCCUUUGAAUAUGAGGGUUGUUGAUUACUCCCUCCGUUUCAAAUUGUAGGUUAUUUUAGUUUUUCUAGAUCCAUAGAUAUAAUUAUGCAUCUAGAUAUACACUAUAUCUAUGUGCAUAAUAAAAAAUAUGCACCUAGAAAAGCCAAAACCUUCUACAAUUUGGGACGGAGGGAGUACCUAAUUAGUAAUUCUACUCUUAAAUCUUACUUAUUUGAUUUAUUUUUUUUUUCUAGAAUACGCAGGAGAGCUGCGUAUCAUUCCAUUAAGAAGAGAUAAAAGUACUAAUACAACGCGGGCCUAAACCGGGCACACGCACACGGUAGAUGGUUCUAUGGGCUGAUUACACGAGGCGGGAGCUCCUAGAUAUUAAACCACGAAUGGCACAUCAUCACAGACUCUCAAAAUGCCAUCCUACACUAUAUAGCCAAUGUGCCCCAGCCAUGAACCAGGUCGCUGCUUCUUCCGCGACUGCUACUGCUAGCUGUUGCGGUAUCUGUUGAGGGUCUCCGGUGAAGACCCGAUUGUUUCGCUCUUUCCAAAUGCGCCAGGAGACCAAGAUGAUUGUGGAGUCGAACCCUUUCUUCCUGGCACCAUGGAAGCUUCGUCUCCAGAUCAACCACCAAUCCAAGAGUAGCUUCGUCUCCGGAUCAACCACCAAUCCAAGAGUGAAGACCCGGGGGCUGGUAUGGAUGAGGCAUUGCCUGUCAUUUGAUCAACUGAGUGCCAUACCUGCUGCGUGUAACUGCAAGUGGCAAGCAGAUGAUCAGAGGUCUCGGGCUCCUGGCAACAUAGGCAACACUCGUCCCAAUUCUGUAGCCCAUGCUUCUUACGGCGAGCCGAUGUCCAAAGCCGUUGCCUCAUAGCAAGCCACAUGAAAAGCUUAACGCGGAGGGGGGCCCAAGCUCGCCAGAUACAACCAAAAGCCGGUGAUUUAACUGACCCCACGAAGAAGAAAUUGUAGGCCGACCUAGCGGAGUAUGUGCCUGACUUCUCCCAACGCCACAUUAUCGUGUCCAUUGCACCUUCCUGGAGCUGGACAUCAGAUACAGCGUGCCAUAGCUGGACGUAUUGCGAGAUUGCAGCCACUAUUAGUCGUCCAACGAUGUCACGGAUCCAUCUUUUCCCCAGAAGAGCAGCCGCCACAGUUCUUGUUUUCCUAAUAUUUGGCUUAACCAUGAGGCACAGGUCAGGAGCUAAAGUGCAGGGAGAGAGAUCGCCCAGCCAGCAGUCCUCCCAGAAGAGUGCAAUAUUCCCGCUGCCCAAGUGUACACGAGUGGAAAUCUGGAAGAUUUUGAGCAAGGUGUGGUUGUUGUCCAGCGUGUUGGCAAGGUACUUCCAUGGCCGCCGAUCAUCAGUCCUUUUGAACCACAGCCAGCGCAAACGGAGAGCCAACGAUGCCAUUCGGAGGUCCUGGAUUCCUAGACCCCCCACAGGUUUAGGACGGCAAGCAAUUAGCCAGGCAACAGUACAUUGCCCUCCAUUGGCGGCCCGCUUUCCUGCCCACAGGAAGCCUCUUCGGAGUUUGUCGAUUUCAUGGAAUACCCAGGCCGGGAUGUCAAGAGAAAUUAGAUUGUAGGUGCAAGUCGCUGUCAGGACCGAUUGGACCACGGUCAGCCUCCCCGCCUUGUUCAUGAGUUGAGCCUUCCAGCUAGGGAUUUUACUGGCCACCUUGUCAAUCAAAGGUUGGAAAUGGGUCUUCCUCAAGCGCCGAACCGAUAGGGGCAUACCGAGGUACUGUAUUGGAAACCCAACCACUUGAGCGGGGAAAAUACCUCUGAUCCUCUCAAUUUGCUGGUCACUACAAGCAAUUGGGGCGAUAGAGCACUUCUGCAGAUUUGUGCGCAGCCCUGAAGCGUUGCCGAAGAAGUCAAGAAUCCCUUUAAUGGCGAUUGCAUCCUGGACCACUGGCCUAGCAAAAAUGAUCACGUCAUCGGCGUGUAAGGAGCACUGAUGACAGAUAGUGUUAUCGGCUGGAUGGGAGAGGACACCCAAUUCGGCCGCCCUCCUAAGGAGCCGGUGCAGUACCUUCAUGACGAGUAUGAAAAGCAUUGGCGAAAGGGGGUCGCCUUGCCGCAUCCCUCUAGCAUUGCCUAUUGAUUGACCAGGGGAACCGUUGAGCAGAAUUCUGGUGGUGGCCAAAGACAUUAGGACAGAGAUCCAGUCCCUCCACUUGGUCCCAAAGCCCCUCGCCUGUAGGACUUGCAGGAGGAAUGGCCAACACACCGUGUCGAAUGCCUUAGAGAUGUCAAGCUUAAUUAGCAGCUUGGCUUUCGUUUCCUGUGUAAGGUUUUUGCAGCUAGCUCAACAAACUUGAAGUUAUCAUGGAUUGACCGUCCCUUGACAAACGCACUCUGGUUAACAUCCACCAGAUUGUGUAGCUCCUGAUCAAGACGGUUGGCGAGCAGCUUCGCCGCUAGCUUUGCGAAACUAUGAACAAGGCUGAUAGGCCUAUAGUCGGCUGGGGACACCGCGUCCUGCUUUUUCGGUAUCAGGGUGAUAAGUGAGCUGUUCAGUCGGCCAAACUGGGCGCAUGCCCCAUGGUAGAGCGCGUCGAAACAUGCAAGAACAUCUCUCUUGAUCACCGGCCAGGCCGCUCUGUAGAAUUCCGCCGUGAAGCCAUCCGGCCCGGGGGCGCGCUCAUUUGGUAGCUCAACAAUGGUUCUCCAUAUCUCCUGCUCAAGGAAUGGUGCUUCCAGAUGAUUGAGGUCAACUGGCAGCAAGCCUAGCGAUGCUAGGUCGAUGGCUUCUGUUCUUGACGAUGGAGUUCCAAGGAUCAUCGCAAAAUAGUUGAAUAGGAGCAGCUCCUUUUCGUCGUGUGUGAUUGUAGUGACGCCCUCGUGCUCAAGUCUAGCAAUGUGCUUCUUUCUUGUGCGGUGGCUGGCAUGUAUAUGGAACAAUUUAGUGUUGGCGUCACCCUCCUUCAGGAAGAGGAGCCUGGAGCGUUGGCGUGCAAUGGUGCGCUCAAGGGAGGAGAGGCCAAGAAUUUUGCAUUUGAGCUGACUCCUCAAACUGGAUUCCUCCUGCGAUAAGGACCGGUGUUCCUGCGCCCUAUCCAGCCACAAGACCAUGGCUCUAGCUAUCAUGAGCUGCGCUUUGACCUCCCCCACUUUCCUGCUACUCCAUUUCUGCAGCGCUUUGGAGGUGCGCUUUAGCUUCUGGUCGAGAGUGAUCAACGGGUCAUUUGUGGCAGUCAGACCACACCAGGCCAUCUGGACGGUUUCGGUGAAUCCCGGCACCCGAACCCACCAAGGUUCAAAGUGAAAGCGGCGCUUGGGGGAGUAGCUGGCGUUGGACGCCAGUAGAAGCGGGCAAUGAUCUGAGAUGUCCGACGAGAGGUCCUGGAGCAUGGCGAAACUGUAGCAGGCUUCCCAGUCCAUGAACACAAGGACCCGAUCGAGUUGGCCAUUACCGGGGCUUGCCGCUCAUUGCUCCGGGUGUAUCGUCUACCAUGGAGGUAGACCUCCUUCAAGUUGACAUCUUCAACGAAGCACCUAAAACGUCCGAUGUUGCGACGGUUAACAUUGGAGGUGCUCUUCUCCGCUGCCCGCAAAAUCAGGUUGAAGUCGCCCACAACAAGCCACAUUGGCGAGGCCAGGGAGUGGACCAAGCGUAAUUCCUCAAGGAAUUCGAUUUUGUCAAUGUCCGGUUGAGGUCCAUAGACGGUGGUAAGGGUCCAAGGCAUGUCAUGGCCAUGAACCUGUGCUGAAAUAGUUAAAGAGUGGCGUCCAGCGUGCACCCGCACGCAUGACACAGCUGGGCCCUUGCAAGCGAUCAGGAUGCCCCCCCUGGUUCCCACAGCCGGUAUGUAAUCGAACGACAAGAAGGAACUACCCAGCAUUCCAGCAACAAGGAAAGGCGAGAUUACACUCAGUUUAGUCUCCUGGAUACAUACAAUCGACGCCGUCGUGUCGGACACCACUGUGCACAGUGAGUCGCGCCGGGAACGUGCGUUCAGGCCACGGACGUUCCACACCAGAACAUUUAUGUUGGCAACUUCCAUUAGUAACCGCGGCGACACGAGCAGCGGGGGUGCGGCAGCUGCGUUAGACGCUGAGCUCUCCGGCCUGGCUCACCAGUUGCCUUAACUGGGCAUCAGAGAGCCCAUUGGCCAGCGGCAGUAUGUCACGGAGCGCAGCAAAGUGCUGGGGUUGCACAGUGGAAGACAGGAACUUGUCGAAGUUUCGGGGAGUAGCGCAGUCGUCAUCGGCGUCCUGGGACAAAACACCCAGUUUCUUCAUGGCGAGGAUCUCACCCUUGCGCGAUGGGCAAAUUGCUGCAUUGAGAGGUUUGUUGGCGAGCCGGUUGCUACGGCGGGGCGUCACGGUGGUGAUGAGCGGCGCGGCUUGGAUCAGUGGAUGUUUUGCCAGCGGGGGGUCCAAGGGAAGUCGAACGCUGUGAAGAAAGGCCUCAGUUUUCUCCCACGCCACCAUGGAGGAAGUAGGGGAUGGUGGUGACGUCGGCUGCGUCGCCAGUGGCGUAGACUCCCCCUGCGCCGGCGGCACCUGCUCGGACGGGGAGGGGUCGGUCGGCAAGCCCUGCAAGCCGUGAGGGCGCCUGGAGUACGUGCAGGGAGGGGUCGGGUGUUCCCAGGCCUGCAGUUCUCCGUGCCCGCCUAUGUCGGGCGUCCGACCCCCCGGCGACGAAGACAGAAGGGUGGUUUCAAGCAACAUGGGGUCGUCACGAGACGGGGGCGUAGAAGGCAGGAAGUCCGGGAGCAGGUCAACCGAGAGGUCAGCCGGGGGGGGUGGGAGAGGUACAGGCACGCAUGGGCACCUCCCCAGACUUCCGGACUCCCGAUGCACACGCCGCGACGACGUCGCGGUGACAGGGCAUGACCGCGUUGUGCCCUGGUCAUGCACCCUGCAAGACGUACCAGAGGUAGCGUGGACGUUCACGGGCGGGCUGCCCAUGGCCACGUACCCCACGCGAAGGACAGUCACAUUUGGUAAAGGAGCCAUAAUGGUGGGCCCCUCCGAGACCGGCGGGCAGUCAAGGGGCCGCGACUGAGGAGGAGCCACCGCCGUAAGCGCCAUCUCGGGGCCGUCGGGCCGCCGCAGCGUCCUGGACGGUGGCGGCGCCAAAGAGACGCGCCUGGAGCUGGGACCCGGAGCAUUGACGUCGUCGCAGCUGAAGAAGGAGCCGUCCUCGAAGCCUUGCCUAGUGGGGAAGCCAUGCAGACACGGACCAUACCCGUCCCCGCCAGAGGUGUUCCGAUCAGGGUCGCCGUCGCGGUCGGACCCCCCAUCACUGGACGGCAGCGACGGGGACGGCAUCGGCGUGCGUGAACGGAAAUCCGUGACAUGGCGAAGCCGGAUGACAAUGUCGUAGAACAGGCCUUUCUUCUGCCUAAGGUAUGGCGGCAGGUUCCCCCAAAUUCGCUGCAUCGUCGGGUCCUCAUACGAAACUUGCUGUUCAUGUUCCGCAAUCCAGAGCCUACAUCACUUCGGGAUGCGGGCCGGAUCAUCAGUCCACGCCUGCACCUUCAUCGUUCUCAUGUCCAACCAAUCGCUGGGAGCGGACGCCACCUGUUCCACCCAACAACCAGGAGCAAGAAUUUUCCUGGCUGUUCGGGCGCUCCAGGCAUGCGCGGGGAUGCCGUCCAGCUCUAGAGAAACGCGGAAGAAGCAAGUAUCAGCGCUCGCCCGCACCAGCCGCGUCCAAGGGCGGAGAGAAAAACGGAAUUCUCCCACCGGCACGAACCUCGCAGCCAAGGCCGCGUCCCUGGUGCGCUGCGACGUGAAGGACACCAGGAAACACUCGGGCCAAAACUGACGCACCGAGAAAUUGUCCGACCCAGCCACCGGCAGCUCAGCGAUGGCUCGGCGAAAACCAUCGAGCGGCAGGUCGGCCGGGGCACCUGAGGCCGCCGCCAGGAGCGAAAAGCGGAGACGCUCCUCCUCCGCGUCCAUGGCAGCAUCCCUGGAUAGGAAGCAGGUAACCUCCCCCGGGCGGCAGUCCGGGUGGCCGGGGGGCAUAUCUUCGUCGUAGAGUGCGUUGGCGAUGUCAUCGUCCGAGGGGGUACCUGAACCCGACGGCCCUUCACGAAGCGGAGGCCGCGGUGGGUUCAGUUGCAGUGAUGACGAGACCUGGGAGCCACGUGGUUGAGGGGUGGCAUGGCUACCGCCCGCCGCCGACCGGGGGGCGGGGGCACGAGCGGAGCUUGACUCAAGGUGUGGCGGCGAGGGAGUGCGUCCUCCAGCGUCACGCCCAUGUGGCGUCGGAGGGGAAUCGCGGUGGGCGCGCACGAAGCGACGCUCAUCCCCAACGCCGGAGGAGGCGGAGCUAGUAGGACUGCGCGGACGCUUGCAGUCGCGGGCGAGGUGCCAGAACCCGUGCACCGGAAGCACCGGAUAGGGCGUCGACAUUGGGCGAUGAGGUGGUUGAAGGAGAGGCAGAUGAGGCAACGACCAGAGAGCUCCGGCGGGAUGCGCUUCGUCGCUGGUCGGGGGUUGAGUGCUUCCAAGAACUGGCGCUGGGCCAGGCGUUGGCGCCGACGCCUUCUAGACCGAGAUCGGCGACUCUCCGCCAUAGUCCAUCCCUCAUCCGCUGCACUAGAGGAGGGGGCGGGAGGAUGGCCGCAGAUCGAUCCGCCGGAGGGGCGCGGCCCCGCGGGGGGGGGGGGGGGGUCGAGGGCCACAGAGGUCUGGUCGCGGCGCCCAAGGGGGGGGCGGCCGGUACCUCGCGGCCCCGGGGUGUCCACCCCAGCAGGGGGAAGGAGGCGCGGGGGUGGCGCAAGCUUGGUGGUGGGAUGGGAUGAGGGGGGGGGGGGGCGAUUGCUGGUGGAGGAGGCGGGGGGCUGGAGAGGAGGAUGUCGCGGUAGGACGGCCGCGGGAAGCCGCCAUAGGAGGACGAGUCAGAUCCGGAAUCGUCCAGCCACCGGACCUGCUUGCCUCGGCCGCCGGAUGUCCCCGUGGGGAAGAAGGGCUCCGUGCAAGGGGAGAGCUUUCGGGACGGGGAGGGGGAUCCUCCCGAUGCGGGGUUGGUGGUCACCGGUGCCGGAGUGGCCGCCGGCGAGGGGUGACCGCCACCGGAACCUCCGUCGAAUUAUUUGAUUUAUAAACUAAAUGUCAAACAUAAAUUAAAUUCUGGUCGGUAAUACAUCUUAUUUUCGGCCGAUUGCAGAUAUUUUUGUGUUUUCCCACUUCUCCUCCCGUAGAUGAUAAUAAGGGUCUUGUUUCGGAAAGAGAUACUAAGGGCUCCUCCAAAUUAGGACCUCAUGGAGUUACUUACAGGUAACAGGUGUUGUUCAGCUCAUGCUUAUUGUAUAUUUCACUUCUGUGGUUAUUUAAUUUUUUUUGUCUAAUACGUAUUUCCAAUCCUCCUGAAGGUCAGUUUUUGCAGACAUUAUCCAGAUGGAGGAUGUAAAUGAACUCUGUAAACAUUUAAUUCUAGCAUCAAGACAAGCUGCCGAAGCAUUUCUGGGUAUUGUUUUCUAUUCUCUAUAAAAACUAUGCUAGUGAACUACGACUUGAGAUGUGAUUUGUAAGAUAAAACACCACCUGCAGAUAUCAUGGUCACUACCCGGUGACAGGGACUUUUAGUUUUUCUUUAGAUGACUUGCUGAUUUCCAAGUGUUGGGACUCUGGGAGGGAAUUGCAUUGUUCCUCCACCAGCUGAAAUUAUGCAUAUAUAUUAAAGUACAAAUGAAAUUUUGAUAGUACAGGUAACUCUGUACUAAGUGGACGCCUAUCAGUCCAAAUCAAUCCCCAAAUGUAACCUGAUACUCCCCCUGUUUAAGACUUAAAAAAGGAAAAUCAAGUUAAGGCCCCAUGCAGUGUUUAGUCAGUAUCUCAAUCUUUUUUCUACUAUCUCCUGUAUUAGACCAAUCAGCCCAAGGGGCUAGAAUCAGUGGCGGACCUACGACCUGGGCUGCCCAGGCUGCAGCCUGAGUCCAAGGCCAAAAUUCCAAUGGUGGUUUAGGAAACGUUAGUCAAAUAUCAAAGGACAAACACAUACAAGUUUCUACUAAGCUGGGAGCAGCCCCGGUCCUUAGCAGUUCUUGGGUCCACCCCUGGCUAGUAGGUUGGUUAGGUGUUAGGAGCCAUAGGGUUGACCAGCUGGAUAAUAUUUCAUAAAAAUAAAUAUUAGAAUUUCCAAAGCAAUUAUUUUGUAUGCUUUGUCUCCAACCACAAACCACCACAAAAGGGAGUAGAGGAAGAACGAGGCAAGGCACCAGGGUUCAUCUAGAUUACCACUUUGACCACAUGUCAGGCAGUUGUGCCUUCUGGACUUAUUUUGCCAUACACUUACUGCAAAUGAUUUCAAGUGUUAUCUACCUUCUGGACUCACAGUUUAUUCACUUCUAAGUAAUUGCCACCAACAUUUUACAAGAAAGAUACUCACCUUUCAUUGAUCAUCUGAACUGUAGUAUUCUUUACUGAUAAAAGUCUCCAAGUCCUCACUCUUGAGAUGGGCAUCUGCAGAUAUUGAACUUUGGUUGCUAACUUUUGUUAAGUGCAUUUGCUUGAUAAUUCUUUGAUUAGUGCAUAUUAUAUAUACUUUGUAAACACCUUACCGUGAUAUAUUUUCUCUGAAACUCUAAUUUUUCAGAUUCAGGUAUUACGGAGAACACCAGCACAAAAAAGUUGGACCAAGCAGAAAGUUGCCUGUCCUCCAGAAACUCUGACAGGGAAGCAGUUCAGAAAGGACAGGACAUACAUGCAUAUUCACCAGAAAGCAGUUCUUAUGGAUGGAACGAUAUCAACAGGCAUAUGUCUCCUGGAUCCCAGGUAUUGAUGUGUGAUGAGCAUGAUGCUGUUCUCCAGUCGUCAAGAGCUGAAGAUGCAAUUCGCUCAACCAUGAUACAGAACUUGCCAAACAUUUUCAUAGGGCAAGAGAGGCGUGUACUGACCAGUUUCCGCGACUGCCUCUGUAAGCUCGCAAACUGUGGCAGAGUGCAAGGUUAGUCUUGCACACAUAAUGACCUAAGCUACUGAAGCAUUAUGUAUUUUGUUUUACUAUCUUUCCAUCUUCGGUAUUUGAUAUGGCAAAUAGUAUGGAAAUAAAUGCCUUUUCUUUCAACAGGAGAGAAGCUAUCUUCUAUGGGGGUGUUUGGUUCCCUUUGCUUAUUUUUAUCACGUGUCACAUCGAAUGUUUAGGUAUUAAUUAGGAGUAUUAAACGUAGACUAUUUACAAAAUCCAUUAUAUAAGUGGAGGCUAAACGGCGAGACGAACCUAUUAAGCCUAAUUAAUCCAUCAUUAUUGUCAAAUCAUGGACUAAUUAGGCUUAAUAGAUUCGUCUCGCCGUUUAGCCUCCACUUAUAUUAUGUGUUUUGUAAAUAAUCUACGUUUAAUACUCCUAAUUAGUACUUAAACAUUCGAUGUGACGGGUGAACCAGGCCUAUGUCGACCAAGCGCCGUUCUAAUUAGGUGCUAGGCUGCUGCAGCUGCAGCCGCAGCCAGCCCACCGAACGAGCUCGCGCAUCACCUCCUCCAUAAGAACGGUUGGAGGGAUAUCCAGGAGCAGGCAAAUGAAUGAAUGAUUCCUCCAUCCUCCUGUAACUAUUAGUGACGCUUGACUUUCCAUUCCGUGGAGAAGUCUCGGAAAGGUUCCCAAAUUGAACAGCAAGGUCGAGCAAGCAUUGCAUUUCACGAGAAUGGCGUCGACAAACAAAGACUAAGUACUAACCCUACAGAGUACCGUUGGUUCUAGCAUAAUUUAAUCCAUGAUUCUGAUCUGUGAAAAUGGCGUUCGUUUCAGGAGAAUCUGGUCUGUGCUGAACGGUUCCUAGACGUAUGCUAGAUGCUAGUAAAAACGUUUUCUUAGUCCUGUACAUUCUUGAGUUGUGCCUCUGUAAUAUAAAUAGUUUGCCUAGACAUGCGUGGAUCUGUUCUCCUAUAUCUGAAGCCCAUGUAAUCAUAUCGCCUGGUUGUCCUACUACUAAUUAAUCCAUGGAAAAUGGUCAACACGGAACCGCGGGAAAAAUUCUCUCUUGUGAGGACAAUGUUGUAAAAUCGUGAAGUCUUUGUGACAAGGGCGGAUGCCUUUGGUCUUUCAAAAAAAGAAGAGCUGGUGCCUUUCUCUAGUCUUUUUCCGGCAUUCGAGUGCAUCGAGAAGGGUAGUUUGGGAACCAUGAACUUUUCAUCUGGUCAUUUCUCCUAUAGAUGUAAAAGUUGUACCAGCCUUUCACUUUGUACCCUCCAGCUCCAAUCCUCCAUGGUGGCUUGCUGGCCUUUGCGUGUGCUCCUACAGUAGGAUACGCACAUGGCUGGUCGCCCAACGCCUGGACAGCAAACGAAAGAGGUAUUUACUGCGGUUCCCGAAAAGGUUAACUAGCAAAGUAACUGCCACCGACGUUUUACAAGGAAAUACGAACUCUCGAAAUUCUUGUUUCUGUAAUACUGAACUUUCAAAUUUCGAAGAACCAGCAAACAACCUAAACCUGAGCGAGAGGUUAUGGACAUGCCAGACUAGAAAAUAAAAAUGAUAAGUGGGCGCAUAUCCACAAACCGACCUUAGCUCAGUUGGUAGAGCGGAGGACUGUAGUGUAGGCAGAUAAAUCCUUAGGUCGCUGGUUCGAAUCCGGCAGGUCGGAUGUAUUUGUUUUGAUUUAUUUUUCCUGUAUUUGUCUUUCUUGAUCUUCCGGACUCUAGUCUGCAUGGCAAAUAGUUUUAAAAAGCUUUGUAGAAAAGCAAAUUUCAUUAGCAAAUAUUUUUGCGCAGCAGGGUGGUUUUGGUGAAAAAUGGUCUUAAAAUGUUUUUGCAGGAAAAAAGAGAAGAUGCAUGUGACCCAGUAUAUUUUUUGUUUGUUAUUGUUUCAUUCUUUGCAACAGGCUACUUUUGAUGUUGCUUAUUUGCCAUUGCGAAAAAGGGUAAUUGUAAUAUAUCAUGAUUAUCUUUCAAAAAUAUAUAUCAGGAUUACACAGUGCUAUCUUGGUUUACAAAAUAGAUGAGUACUUUGACUUUAACAAUGCAUGCUUUGACAAAAUAAUUUUCCCCUUGAAUUUUAGUUAAUUAAUGCAGUAGAUUGCAUUGUCAUCAGAUUGCUACAUCAAAAAUACUUUAAAAACAUCGUAGAUUUAGUUUAUCCUCAUUUAUUUUUGGAAAAAAAAUCCACGGCCAGACUUUAAACAAUAAAGUCAAAAGUUACAGUUGUUAUAUUUGUAAAAGGAGGGAGUAAUAUACAUUUUACUAGCAAUCAAAACGUUAAGCAACUCAUUUAACAACUUUUCAACAUGUAAAAAGACUCCCCGGCUACUGUGACAUGUUCUCUGAAUGUUCGACUUGCUAUGCUAGUUCCCAUUUGAAUUAUUCAGACUUUUAGUUCCCAUGUAAUUGAGCUGCUAUAUGCCUACAAGAGCCCAUCUGAGUUAAUCAUUUCCUUUUUUAAAAAAAAGACUUAUUAAAUGUAUUUUUCCUCCAUGUACCCAAUGUUUUUUUAGUUCUGAUAACUGAAUACUGCUAAAUUCACACAAGAACAGGAAAGCCAACUCAAAAUAAUUGAUUCUUAUUGCUCAUCUCCAACCAACAACUGAAGCAUGCACAACCACCACCGGAACCUCCCAGCACAACCAACAAAUCCUUGCUUUCUUGCUGGUAAGACGGCAGUUUCUUAUCAUGCCCAGCAUUUCUUUGCUCUAGUUCUACCUCUACUCCUAACUCUCUCUAAUCUCUAUGGAAGCCAAACCAUAAUUACAAUGAUAUUGGUAGCUAAAAUCGCUCAACGGUUGGCUUCUAUUCCACUUAAGUCCUACUGCCGACGCAGUCACCCAGCUUAUGAUGGUGGGAAGAACCGGUUGAGGUUGAAUGGCAGGUUGUAGAACUCCUCAUUCCGGCUGUCACCGCGGAACGUCCUGAACCUCGCCCACCAAGGCAUCCCGCGGUCCUUCGCCCUG
rnacentral:lncRNA from 1 species